rnacentral:lncRNA from 1 species
UUCUCCAAUGUUUGGUUUAAAAAGGUAGCAACACAGACAAAAGGCAGCAUCUUUUUCUACACUAUAUUCCAACCAAGUAGGAAAAUCAUCAAACCAAGCAGGGUUGAAUCGUCUUUGCGUGUCUCCAUAUUUCUUGUAAGGAAAAUUAAGCUGUAGAAUUGAGUUUUCUUGGAGAUGUUGACAAUGUUAUCCAUAUUAAUAUAUAUGCUUUCUUAACCAAAAAAAAAAUGCCUAAUAACGAAUCCAUAUCCAACCAAGGCAACAAUUCAAUUAACCAAUACCAAUAAGCAUACAAAUUAUUCAACAAAUAAACAUUUAAUUCAACUAAUCAUAUGAAUAAAUGUAUACCCAUAUUCAUAGAAUUCGUAAUUUCAUUCAUCAAUAAUCAUAUAUUUCAUAUCAAUAAUCAAUAAUCAAUAAGUCAAUAAUCAUAUUAGUGCAUACCAUAUCCAUAUGAUUCUAUAUUUCUAUACCAAUUAAACAAAAAUUCAUCUUAAAUAAUUAAUUAGGGUUAGGAAUUAUAGAUUUAGGAAUUAAAAAAUUUACCUAAAUAUAUAUAUAUGUCGGCUAGACUAGAGAGUGGCUAGUUGGAGUGGCUGGCUGCUGGCGUGGUUGGGAAGAGCAACUUUGCUCCUGUUCCGUUCCAUUUCAAAGUGUUGGUUGGGGGAAGACAGACAGAGCAGCACCAAGCUGCUCUCUGAUUGGUGCGGCGCAAAGGGCAACGAAAACAAAGGGAGGGAUGGAAAUGGGAGUCUAGGACCGUGGGGACAAGCGGUCCCCCACUAUAACAUAACUUUUUUUUUUUAAAACAUAUACGAAACGACGCCGUUUCGUUUACAUUUUUUUAAUUUUUUUUACCAGGACCAAAACGACGUUGUUUUGGCCUGGUUUUGAAAAAAAAUAAAUAAGAUCAGGCUUCUACAGAACCAGAUCGGAGGAAUUGAGGUUCAUUUUGCCUUUGGCCUGGUUUUGAAAAAAAAAAUAACACCCAGCUUUGCUUCUGCAGAACCAGAUCGGAGGAACCAAAAAAUCGCAGUGGGGGCUUUGCUGCUGCAGAACCAGAUGAGUUUGAGCAGCAUGCUAACAUCAGAAAAAUCUCAGUAGGGGCAUCCGCCCCCCUAGGCCCAUGGUAGCUCCACCCUUGACAACAGUAUAAAAUUGGGCUUAAACAGAUUGUUCCUUGACUUAGUCAAUCAGAUGGUUCGAACCAUAUAAUAAUUAGUUUAGCUUACAACCAUCCUAUUCAAAAGAUAUUCGUUAAUGUAACAAAUCUAUAGUUAUAUACUUGAGUAGCAACAAACACUAUAUCAUGUAAAUGUUUAGUCUUCACAACUCUAGUAGUACGUAUCUCGACUUACAAGUGUGUCUCAUUUUCUCUGUCGGGACUAAAGGGGCUCGAGCCAACAGCUUCCACCUUAACAGGGUGGUGCGAAGGAACUUCCUAGCUUCGCGCGACCAACUAAUUAGACUUCCUCUAGUAACAAGUACAAUCUAUUUUUAACCUUGCCAAAACCGUCAUGGCCCAAUCAUGUAUAGUUUGUACCAAGGGUGAAACUCACCAUUAAAAUGUGUUCGGGUCAUAACCAUUAAAUACGGGAAUAUUUUUCUUCACCACCUUUAAGUAAUAGUGAUGCUUACCUUCCAUUAAUUGUCGUUAGAUGAAUUUAAAUCUUGAGAUUUGUGUAAUAGAUAGACACAAAUUUCAAAAUUUAAACUCAUUCAACAAUUAUAAAUAUGAUGGUGAGCGUAACCACCACUUGAGAACUAUGGAAAUGAUGUAAUAUUUGGGCUGACCAAAUUGAUCAAGAGAAGAGGAGUCACUUAUUCAGGGCAACGUGGACUGGUUGUUUGGCAGGCUUAUAACUCUAUCCUGAUCAAGCAAAACAUGUGCUGAAUUCCUAAUUCCAUGUGCACAACCAUUUCAGAAACAAAUUGCCGGCAAUUGCAAAAUUGAACCAAAAAUUAUCAAAUCUCAAGUCGAUGACCCAAUGAUUGGUUCAAAUAAGUAAAUAUCUUGUCUGAUCAAACUUCCUAUUUUAAGGCUCAAUUUAUAGUCUUUCGUGGGAAAACAACUUAUAUGAAAUAAAUUUAUCGUCACUUGAAAUCAUACGUUAAUAUAUUAGAGCAGAACGUCACAAAGUAAUGUACCCAUUACAUAUAAAUCAUUCUCCCUCCUGCAACCAAGCAGUACCAUGCAUUUAGAAGCUUUGGUAGUUAGAGAGGGCCUCAUGUUGGCUAUUAACAGGGGUUGUUAAAACCUUAUUCUCGAAAGCGAUUCUCACCAAAUUGUCUUAGUUUUGCAAGAGCAAUCCCUCAACCUCUCGCCUGUUGGCCCUACUGUUGAGGAUGCAAAGACUUUGCUAGACCAGAUCAAUGGAGAUUUCACCAUCCAUAUCCGCCACCAAGCGAAUGAAGCAAUGCACCACCUUUUCAACACAUCACUUCUUUAUAAUGAUUUCGUUCUUGAUUUGACGAACCUCUUGAUCUCUUAACAGAUCUUUUACAUGAGGAGGGUCCCUCUUCUGCGUGACUCGUCUCUUUUAUGCAUUCCAAAAGAAAAAAAAUAUGUGGGAUGACACCUAUUACCUAUAGCAACAUUUCACAAUUCCAAAAGGAGCCGCAAACUCCAUGGAUGUAUCCCUUUAAUUGUCUGUCAAGGGGUCCUAUUGCAAUGAUUCUGUUUCCAAAUACUUUGAAACUUAACAAACAAGCUAUUUACUUUUUAAAAAGGAAACAAAUAUCAUUUAUUAAUUGACUUUUAUGGUCCACAAUACUUUACACUUUGAAUCAUCUCAAAACCAAUUUGCAAACUUUCAUGAAAUUACCCAAAAAUGCUUUUGAGACGUUAUCACAUCUUCUGUCCAACCAUUUUCAGAGUAAAAUUAUGUCCCCUCUUAUUUACAUUCUCUUUCUUUUCAUUUUCUCACAUUUUACUUUUUAUCUUAUUAUUUCUCAUUAAUUUGCAUUUUUUUGUAAAGAGAAAACGUAAUUAUCUCUCAUAUGAUUUUUCUUAUGAAUUUUUUAAAAGAGAUUGAAUGAAAUAUCCUUAAUUGACUAACAGAGACAAACUAAAUUAGCCAAAUCGAAAACAAUGGCAUCGAAUUGACCAUAUGACUAUAACAUAAGGACCAUUUUGACAUUUAUGCCAAAAAUCAAUAUAAAUGUUGACGUAACCUAAUAGUAACAGUUCAAAUAGAAAGGAAGAAAAAGAAAAAGAAAUUAAAAGAAGAGAAGAUCCUCCUCCACCAUUUUCGAGGAGCCGAAUGAACUUUCCUGCAAUGUAGACGAUAGCGUGACGGUAUCUCAAGAUAAUUACUCGCCACAACACUGAAAAGUUGAAAUGCAAUAGUUCCCCAAGGCAAAUAAUGUUAGCGAAAUAGCAUUGUACCGGUAUCUCGAAACAAUCAUUCACCGUUAUUCCGAAACAAUCAUUCACCGUUAUCCCGAAACAAUCACGCACUGCGCCCGCCGGAAAGUCAAAAUGCAAUAGUACCAAAGUUCUAACUAAAUCAAUACAAGAAAAUGAAAUCUUCAUUUUAAAUUUUUUUUUUUUUUUAUUUCAGCUGCAAUUCUAAAAACAAACGAAUUCUAAAGUUAUUCCUUUUUCUUUUGCAAAACAAAAUUACAAAAAAGAAAGAAAAAGCCUGCUAGAAUCAAAGAACCUGCAACAAUGUUACUACCACCAUUGAUGAACAAGAACUCCACUUUGUCUAAGUGAAGCAUACAGGUCCAAACACUGACCGUAACUCUUCUCAUACUUGGAACUCCUCUCGCCGGGGCAACACCUCUGCCACCGAUUGUAAUGGCACUCGAGAAAAACCUCGUCGAUCAAACAGAUUGCCCCUGUCUCGAAAAGCCUCGGAAUCAAAUCGAAUUCCGUCCCUUCCACAUCCAUCUUCAUCACCACAAAAUCCUUUUCCGAAAAGGUGUUCUUCAACCAAUUCACAAAAUCAAACCCCUGAAUCCGAUCCACCUCUCCGUUAAACCCCCCCACUGGCUGGAUUCGCCGGCUGAAUCCUCCCCAUUCCUCUCCCUUUAUCCUUCACCUUCUCACCCGGGUCGCCAUUGAUCUCGAAGGACAAUGUCUCGUUCCUCACCCAAGCUGCGUAAGGCAGCAAUGUGACCCCCUUCUUCAACUUGUACUGGUCAUGAAAAGUCUUAUCGGCUUCAAUGGCGAAAACUUCGAAAGUCCUGUUCUGUUUCGGGUACUGCUUCUUGAACCAGCUGCCAAUGCUGGAGCCAUAGCUCCGAGCUCCGACAUCCACGUAAGCAUACCGCUUCUUGAAGCUUAUAUCCGCCAUUGUCGGGAGGUACUUCACGUUCUGUAUGUUCUUCUUCAGAGUAAUCCACGGCUUCAACGGCUCUAUUUCAAUCAAAGGCUCGGCCUUUCUGAUGAGAUCCAUCUUAUGCCCAGGAACUGAGCACUUAUUACCAGCACCGCCACCAGGGUUCUCGGCCCUGUGACCGAAACCCUCACUCUCGCCGCAAUCCUUCCUCAAAACCAUCUCGCGAAUCUUCGGCAUCGGCGGAUCGAAGCCGUCGAUGUCCCGCGAAGUCACGAGCUUGCUGCAAUUGAACAAUUCAAUAAACGAAUGGAAGCUGUAAGUGUCUCUCGCGCCGACGUGGACCACCGCAAACCCUUCGGGCUUCAGCGUCCGCACGAUCUCGGCGGCGACAUCCGCCGGCUUUGGCGACUUCUCGAGCCGUCCUCCGCCGGAGAAAACAAAGUCAAAGCUGUUGUCAGCGAACGGCAAACGGUGCGAUUCGCCGGGAAUUACCAAAGGUCUCGACGCUUUCUUGAAAACACCGACCGCGCCCUUGACGCCGGACUCUCUCAGGGCGUAGACGUCGUGCCCGGCGGGGGUCUCGACGCAGAGCGACUUGGCUUUCCGGGAGAGGAAGCCCUGAGACAUGAGAUCCUGGAACACGGCGGAGUAGAAAUGGACAGCCUUGAUCCAGUCCUUGCUGGUGUAGAGUUCGGGCUUCGUGGACCCCACCGAAAUCGACGGAACGGCUUCUUUUUUUGCGGCGAUGGCCGAACCGCCAGUAUUCGCUAUAACGAAGUUGAGAUUUUCCGGCAGAGAGAAGAAGCAGAAGUUCCCGAGCUCGCACGACUCGCCGGUGACGGUGACGACGUAGGCGAAGCGACAGAGCACGAUCAAAACGCCGAACAAAAAGAACCGUAUAAAAACGUUCUUCAGUAGGCCUGGCUUGCCUGCCGCGGCGGCGCCGGGUUCCAUCUCUGCAAAAGCUAAACCUUUUUCUCUACAAAAACUUGGGGAAAAAAAAAAGAAUCUUUUUCUAUCUGUUUUCGGAAUCGAAAUAAAAAAAUAAAUUGAAUUUGUAUAAAUUUGAAGAAAUCGUAUUGGGGGUUUUUGGGGUUUUGGUUUAGCGGGAGCAGAAUCGGGCGGUGGUGUGGUUGCCGCCGAUGAGGGCUGGUGAUUUUAAGAGGGAGUUGCAGAUCUUGGAGAUGUGAGGGGACGGAGAAGCCAUGGCUGGUAAAAACUUUAUUUCUGUUUCGGCAUGAAUGUCUCUCUCUCUCUCUACUUUAUCUCUCUUCCCUGCUCCCUCUCUCUGAAACUGGGAAAACUGAAAAGACUGCGUUCGACUGUCGGAGAAGAAGGUGCAAAGAGAGAUAAAGAGGUAGAGAAUGACGCGGUCGCACUCGCAAGUUUGGUGACCGGGAGAGCCGGUUUGGCACGCGUGAGAAGAAGAUGCGAGAAUGGCGUUAUAUUUCCAAGAAUAUAUAGAGGGGCUUUACGAGGGCGCUUGCUGAAACUUGAAAUGACGACAUUGCCAUUCCAUCUUGCCCGUCGAUUUGAGAAAACGGGUUUACCCGAAUUACUCUCCUAAUUGCAGUGUUUGGUGAAAAACCUAAUUAAAUUGUUACAACUUAUUUUGUACUUUUAAUUAAGAGUGUUGUUAUUGUCUCGUUCCUUCUUUACAUUUCCCUAACUACUCAAUUAGUGUGACAGUUCCUCCCUCACUUUUUGUUUAGGAAAAUGCGGAAUAAUAGUUCACUCGCCUUUUGUUAAAGGGCGAUUGUUCCGUUAGUUGAUUUAGAAAGAAUACAAAAUGAGUAAACAAGAAAUAGUAUAAGAUGAUUGAGUAGAUAAGGUUGGAUAGAUUUUUUACUAUGUCCGGAACAUGGAGUGGUACACUAUGUGUCACCAUACAAGUGAUGAGAUAUUUGUAUUAAAAAAAUUAACAACUUAAGAAAUAAAUUUUCCAUCACUUAUAUAAUAACACGUGAUGUACCGUUCGUGUUCCAAACACAAUGAAAAAUUUCUCGUAAGGUUGAUAGAAAUACAUUAAAUAUUUUUUUUUUUUUGAUAUAGCUCCAUGUAUUAAUGAGUAUCUUGCUUAAUUCUAAGGUAAGGAUGUGAUAAAUAAUCGAAAUCAUGUACACGUGGCAGAUUGGAACUUGGGGGAAAUGCUGCAUGUGAUUACAAUAAAUAGAUUUCUCGUUAAGUGAGUUGAUUAUAUAUAAAUCCAUAAUUACUUACUCCCAUAGCAAGUAACAAUGUGUUAACUUAUCAAAAAAGAAAGUAAUAAUAUGUUAAGAAUCUUAUGACUUACGUCAGCAAGUUGAUGCAAUAUCAAAUAAGAUCAUAGACCCCCAUUCUGGCUUUUCACUUAUUUGGAUUACGAGGGGUUCAUUUUUUUUUUUUUUAAAUUGCUAUGAGCCAGAAAAAAGUAGACAUUAAACUAAUUUGACGAGUAAAUUUAGAAGAUUGUUUUGUGUAUAAAGAGACAAAGAUUAUAAUAAUUGUUCAAUGACCAAACCUUUAUGCAUUGUUCAAACGUUUAAUCCUUGUAACUCACCUUUUUUUUUAGAAAAACUAAUGAAAAAUACUUGAAAACUUUGAGUUUUAACGAUAAAGACAAAAUAAAGGGUAAAGUAAAUAGUACUAUGAUUGACUUUUUAGUGUAAAAAUAUAAUUUUUCGUUAAAAUAAAUAAUACCAGAAGCUCUUUUCGUUAAAGUUCCUUUUUUUUUUUCUGUCCAGUUUUGUGUGUUUUGGUAUUGCCUUCUCUUUGUUAACAUAACAUCGAGUCAUCUACCCUCAUUGUAAAAUAAAACUUAAAAAGAUUCCCAAGGGCAUGAAUAAAAUUUUGCCUUAUCAAGGGGUAUGAAUUUACAUAAACAAACCUCAAUGUUCUCAUAAUUACCGGAUCAGCCGGUCACCGCAUCCGCAUUAAGCUUUUUGGCGGUGCUACACACGGGGUAAGCAUGGGUGCCAUGCUUAUGGCCGGUGCACAGAACGCCGCACUAGCCGUUGUUGUGAACUUUUUCUGUUUUCGUGAUGUCCUUUUCCUGUCGAUGUUAAUAAGUCAUGUAAAAAUUGACAUGCUUAACUUAUUGAUCUGAGCAAGGUCUAAAAUAUCGAUAUUAUCCCGAUAUUUUCAUCGAAAUUUUUAUGUUUUUGAACUACCGAUAUUUCCGAUAUCAUCGAUAUUUUAGACCUUGAUAGAAACUCUAUGUGGUACUAAGUCACUCAUGUAUCUUACCAUGCAAUAUAUAAAGUGUAAAAUAUUGUACUAAUUCAUUAUAUAUAAAUGAUUAUGAUGUGUUUAAACUUUUUUCAUUAAUUACUACAUAUUUUCUACACUCACAAUGUUUGCCAGCUCGCUAUAUAAUCAACUUAAAUCAGUUAAAUCCAUCAUGCAAUGCAUUUCCUUCCAAUUUUUUGUGAUAAACUAAUAUAUAUUGACUAAAUAAACAUCCUGCAAUGUUUCAAUAAAAAUUUCCAAGUUUUUCUUACAAUUUAUGUGGUUUUAUUCAAUUUUUAUCGAUAUCGAUAAUAUCCCAAUAUUUCUAUCGAAAUUUUCGUGUUUUUUGACUACCGAUAUCAUCGAUAUUUUAGACCUUGGACCUGAGAAAUGGGUGAUAUUCGUGUUAUUUAUGCAUCAUACUCAUUAUCUUAACAGAUUUUUAACGUAACUCGUUAACGAAUUCUUAACGAGUGACCAUAAUAGUUUUGCUUACUUGUUAGACGUCAAAGGUAGAAGGAACAACUGUAGCACCGACACAAGGAUAUAACGACUUGGCUCGUUGAGUUUACCCAAAUUUUGCUAUUUUCGUUUUGUUUUACGUUGAGUUGAUUAGUGGUGCAAGAACUUGUUAGGUCUUUCAGUCUAAUAAGCUCUAUCCAUUAUGUAAUUUGAACCAUUCUCGAGGCUUUGUUUGCCUCGCCAGGUCCACAAGCAUUUUUUAUGUUGCAAUCUGGACUAGUGGAUUGGGAUAGGAUUGUCUUCGAAAUAGGGCUGGGUUCGGUUUGAAACGGUUCGGUUUUUAGUCAAAACCGAAACCGAACCGAAAUUUCGGUUCAGUUCGGUUCAAUUUUUUUCGGUUUUUUUUCGGUUCUGUUUUUUCGGUUUUGAUUUUUUUCGGUUCAGUUUCAGUCCGGUUCGGUUUUUUCCAUGAUUUUUUUUUUUAAUUUGGAACAAAUCUGCAACAAUUGAUUGCAAGCACUGAAGAUGCAGAAACUUAUUGGGUGUUGGUGCAAAUGAAUAUGAACUGGAACAAAUCUGCAAAUCUGCACUGGAAGAAAUCUGCAAAUGAAUACGAACUGGAACAAAUCUGCAAAUGAAUACGAAAAUUACAAUAUAAAAUCCCAACAAAUCUGCAAAGAUUAUAACAUGCAAAAUCCCAACUAAUAAUUAAAAGAAAAACCCAUUUUAAUUCAGUAAAUCACAAUAUAAAAUCCCAACAAAUCUGCAAAUGAAUACGAAAAUUACAAUAUAAAAACCCAACAAAUCUGCAAAGAUUAUAACACGCAAAAUCCCAACAAAUAAUGAAAAGAAAAACCCAUUUUAAUUCAGUAAAUCACACUAUAAAAUUAUAAAUCAUAUUAGUUUUGAUUCGAAAAUUACCUUUGAGAGAUCGGAAAACCCGGAUUCGAAUCUUCCAAUUUAGAGGGGGUUCUGAUUCGAAAGGGGCGAGGGAAAAUCAUGGUUUGGAAGAAAGAAUCCGUGAGGAGGACAUGAGAAGACUGGAGAGAGAGUGAUUUGGAGGAAGAGAGGAAGGAGAGAGAGAGAGAGAGAGAGGGGCUGAGGAAGCAAAGGCAGAGAGAGGAAGCAGCGGAGGGGAGUGUUUGAAAUCUAAAAUGGGAAGUGAGACAUAGUGUGAGACGGCUAGAGUUUGUAAAGUUAAGAAAUUUUAUAAAGCAUUAAAUACAAGAAACCUAUAAAUAUUGUACUGGUACAAUUAUAACAACUCGAAGCCUACAGUCAAGUUGGCUGGCAGCAACUAAUCCCAAGCUAUAGGGAAGGGGUUCAAACCCCGGCGCCAACAUAUUUUUUUAGAAUUUAUAUAUGAUUUUUUUUUCGGUUCGGUUCGGUCCGGUUCGGUUUUCGGACCUCAAAAACCAAAACCGAACCAACCAGAUUCGAUUCGGUUCGGUUUGGCAGUUUCGGUUUGGUUUUUUCAACUUUGGUUCGGUUCGGUUUUCGGUUUUUUGAACCCACCCCUACUUCGAAACAUACCCAUCCAGAUCCUCCUUCUUUACAGUCCGAGUCGACUUCCUAGCUUCCCCGGAGUUUGCGUGGUGGCUUCCCUGGAGUCAGCGUGGUGGCUUCCCUAGCGUUGGUAACCGGCAACAUCAAAGUCAUCUGGAACAAGCAGAAAAAAUGAAGAAAAAGAAGCAGGAUUGAAGAAGAAUAAGAAUUGAAGAAGAAGAUUGAAGAAGAAGAGGAAGAAGAAGCAAAAUUGAAGAGAUGAAAGAAGAAGAAGAAGAAGGAUCUGGAGAGGAUCCUCCCUAGUGGAUUGGCCGAGCCAAUAAAAAAGUUUGUAGCCCUUGUGUUGGGGUUUGUAGUUUGCACACGUAAGAGGUUAAGUGAUAUCAAAAUACAAAUAUAAGUGGGAGUCUGUAAGUUUUAUUAUCAUGAAUCAUAGGGAAGGAGCUAGGUUUUGCAUGUCAGUACAUUUUUUAAUACAAACGAUAUUAUUCUAAACUACUAAAAGGGGAGAAGCAAUAUUUGAACCCCACACAUAAGUGUUUUGAAGAAGAAAAUCGUAAUUAUCAAGACAAUCUAGCAUUUUUUUAUAUGUCAAUUAACUUGAAACAACAUCCACAACAAUACCCAUGACGGGAGGAGCAAUAUUUGAAACCCGCAGGAGCGUUUGGAAAAAAAGUCCUAAUUACCAAGACAAUCUGCUAUUUUUUUUAUAUGUCAAAUAGCUUAAAACGACGUCCACAACAAUACUUAUGCCGGGAUGAGUGAUAUUUGAACCCCAUGCAAAAGCGUUUGAAGAAGGAAUCCUAAUUACUAAGACAAUCCACCUUUUUUUAUGUCAAUUAGCUUGAAACAACGUCCACAACAAUACUUAUGACGGAAGGAGUAAUAUUUAAACUCCAUGCGUAAGCGUUCGAAAGAAAAAGUUCUAAUUAUCAAGACAAUCUACUAUUUUUAUCAAUUAGGUUGAACAACGUCCACAGCAAUACUAAUGCCACAUCGGCUCCAAUUCGUUAAGUGUAGUGUUAUACGACACGUAGUUUGGUAGAUAAUCAGCAUAUCAUUGAAUUCGGGAGAUGAGGCCUUUAUGAAUAUGACCUGGCAAUGGUGUGGGAGGUGUGUUAGGGAUGAGAAUCCGGAUCCUCUUUAUGGGAUCUUAGGGAUUUUCACAUCAUGAUCGUUUAUCGUACAUCGUACGAUCAGUUUUCGUGAAGUACUAUUUGUGUUUAAUUUUAAAUAAAUAAAUUCAAAAUGAUUUAUGACUGCGUACGAUAAACAACUAAGAUGUAAGGAUUCUUAGCAUCUUCACAAUUUGAAUCCGAAUGAGAUCCAAAUCCGGGUAUUAGUGGUACGCGUAGGACAUGGGUGGUCAGGAUGGUUCCCAUGGCAGCGCUGAUGGCGUGGAUAGGAAGUUGGUGCACCGUGGAAGAUGUGGGUCAUGCAAGAAAGAAAGAGCCCAGAAGAGCAAAAGAGUGAGAGGAGGAGGCCUACAUGUCGUAUUAAGUGCAGCGUAGCCAGCGCCGGAAUCAACGCCCUCAUUGACUCGUCGUUUCCCCACACCCCAUCUAACUUCCUAUUUUUUCCUUUGCUUUGGUUGACAUCCCUUCUAUCAAGUUAUGAUUGUAGCAACUGUAAUUUCAUGGAAUUUUUUAGCAUGCUCAAAGGUGCUCUAUAUAUUGUACUUCAGUUUUUGUUCAUGAAUUCUAGAACGUUACUGUAUUUGAUUUUAUUUUUUAGUAUAUCGAUAUUUUUACAUUAAGGAGAUGGGGAGUUCAGAAAAAUCACAUAAUGAACAGUUUAAUUUGAUAUCGAAUUCGCCAUCUACGAGAUUUGAACUUAAGACCUCUCACUUUCAAAUAAAGAGGAAUACCACAAGACCGUAGUAUUAAGUGGUUGACAGAAAAUAUUAUGAAGUUUAAUAAAAUUUUCGAUAAUUUUGUUGUCUGGGACAUUAGUUCGCAUCAUGAAUUUUGUCUUGUAAGGAAUCGUAAUUUUUCUGUCCAACCGACUAAUUAUAUAUUGAUCUAGUAAUACUUCUCAGUCUAAUAUAAAAAAAUUUCUCCGACGAAUAUGCACUGCUCACUCUUAUAGGUUGGACCAAGUAUAGUCGUUUCCUUUUGUUUUAUUUAAAAUAAGUUGUAGAGUUAUCAUCUAGUUUGACCCAAAAAACUAAACAAUUAUUAACAUCCAUGCUAAAGUUAGCAUUGGAGAAGGUACGUUUAUUUUAUGUGCCUUUUCAAAUUUUAACUGGGUUUGUUGAUUAUGUCAUGUCAUCCUAUAAGGCCACAAACAUCAUUCGCUGUUUCUUUCCUUUAUUUUCAUAUAAGUAGGUAUAUGAUAUUCAUAAACAACCUUCCAAAUAUGACAAUUUGAUUCAACAUUAAAUUAAAUAUUUACAUCACAUAAACAAACCACUAGUAAUAUAUCACUUUACUUUUCACAAUUGUAGUUGCUAUGCUUGGUGCUAGUUUCAAAUUGAACUGGAUAAUUCAUUUUGGCUCGUUAUUUAUUACAUUACGAUUAUUUUUUUUCAUUUUGACCUUAUUUGAUAGAUAUUUUUUACGAAAUGAUCAAAAAAAUUGAUGAUGGACAAACACAAGGAUCACUUUUAUCGAUUUCAAAACUCAAGAGCCAGAAUAAAGAGUUAUGUCAAUCUCAUGAACUAUUUUGACUAAAAUACCUUUAAUAUAUGAGUUUAAAAGUAGAGCCAAAUAAUUUUUCAUUUGUGGGAUCGAAAGAGAUAAGAUUUCUUAAUGCAUAAUUCAAUUUUACUUUUUAUGUUUUCCCUUUCUAACAUAUUUUUAACGUAGCCAGUCAGUACUACGGUUUGGUGAUAUUAUUCUUCACUUGGAAGUGAGAAGCCUUCGGUUCAAAUUUUGUAGAUGGCGAAUUCGAUAUCAAAUUAGGCUGACCAUUGUGUGGCUGAGCUGAAAUCUCUCUUUUCUUAAUGUAAAAAUAUCGAUGUACUAAAAAAAAAACAUAUUUUAAACCUAACGAAUCAUCCAAUCCAACGUGAUCAUAACAGUAAACCCGCCCUUUUUGUUUCCACAGUUACCUUCCAUUGAAUCUAAUUCAUUUUUUCUAAAACAUGGCUGAGGAAUCAAUAUUGUGGCUGAGAUGGAGGAUCCCAUGCAGGGACGGAGCCAUUAUAGGCCUAGAGGGGGUGGAUGCUCCCACACAAUUUUUUUUGGGGGUGCAGAAAAAUUGCACAAUUUUGCAUCCCAAUGACCAACCCUAAUUAAAAUAAAAAUUAAACCCUAUAUGUUAAUUGGUAUCAAGGAAAAUGUGCUAAGGAGACUCUUCCAAAAGUGAACAUCUCCAUGAACAUUCCGUCACCUUAUGUUUUUAGUACAAUUCCCGUACCAACAUCAUUAAAUAUUGUGCCAAAAAACAUGAGAUGAUAGAGAGUCCUACUUUGAAAGAGUCUUCUUAGAAUUUCUCUUAGUAUCAAUAUGAUUGACUUCGUUAACAAUGAUUCUAAAUGUUUUGUAUGAAAAACAUUAUAGAUUAAUAUAUAAGUGUUUGUUUAGUAAAUUUUUUUUAGUUUUUUAAUUGUAACUUUGUUGUUUGAGGAUGUUCCCAUCCAUACAAAUGUUUGACUUCGUCCCUGAUCCCAUGCAUGCUUGUGAACAUUUUCAGAACCAUUUGAGGAUGCAUGAAGAAGUCAACAUCACAUUUACCCAUCGAUUAGAAGCAUUUGUACGCUUUCCUUGUUCGGUUAUGUAUUUGUAUGUUACUCGAUCGUUUUUGUUGUUUUGCAGCAGUUGGGACUCGUCUCGUGAUACUGCACCGUUAAACUUGGCCAUGCAUGCAAUUUUGUAUCUAGCAAUACGAAUUAGUGGUUUUGGAGUGAGUUGCUUAAAAAAAAGCAUUCAUGAAAAAAAGCUGUGAGGGUUUUAGGUGUUUGGUAAACUGAAAAAAAAAUGGCUUAUUUUGGAAGCUGCUGUGAGAAUAAGUUGAAAUCAAAAGAAAAAGCUGAAGCUGCUAUUUGUAGCUUUGGAAAACUGGUUUUUUUCCAAAGCACACUGAGCUACAUUGCUCUUUUAAUGAAAAGACCCACUAUCAGACUGCUUUUUUUCUUUUUCAAAAGCACUUUUACAAAAAAGUUUACCAAACACUCUGCUGAUUUAUUUCACAGCCGCUUAUUCUUAUAGCACAGCCACUUAUUCUCACAUCAGUUUUUUUUCAAAGCACAGCAAUACCAAACCAGAUCGAAAUCUUGAGCGGUUACUAUUCUCAAAAAGAGAAAGUUCCAUGGUGGCGAUUCUCACACCCCUUACUUUUGGGAUGGUGAUUCUCUCUCUUCCCUUCUUUUCAGUUUUUAUUCUUCUUUCUCUCUCUACAUUUUUCUUCUUUUUUUUUUCUUUACAAAAAAGAUGAAAUCUUAAGCGUUCAAACAGAAAAAGAGGAAUGAAAUGGUAAAAAGAGAAGAAAUAAUCAUUGUCCUUACUUUUGUGCUUUACUUAUACGUGGGGUCCUCUUUUGUAUAUAGAAAUUCUAUAUAAAUCGACGGAAGAAAAAACCUUAAAUCAAUUAAAGAAAAACCCUAAUCAUCAACUAAAGAUAAAAAGGAAAACUAAUGAAAAAAGUUUGAAAACUUUAAGUUUUAACGAUAAAGACAAAAUAAAGGAUAAAGUGAAUAGUGAUAGAAUUGACUUUUUAAGGUAAAAAUGUGAUUUUUCGUUAAAGUGAACAGUAUUGCAGACUUUUCAUUAAAAUUCCCAAAAUAAAAUCUAAAGGAUUUGUAGUCAAAAUGGUCCAUGAUGUUGACAUAAUAUCUUACUUUGGUCCCUGACAAAGAACAUUGAUAGAAGCGGUCCUUGAAUUUGUCUAGUAUAAAUCAUUUUGGUUAUUUCGUGAAAAAUCUGUCAAUAUCCUCAUUAAGUGGAGGGGUUAGUUUGACAAAAAUAUCGUUAAAAAGAUGGUCACUUGGUCGUUCACGUAACAAUAUAACAAAGAUAUUGAUAGAUUUUCCACGAAAUGACAAAAAUAAUUUACGAUGGACAAACUCAGAUCAUUUCUAUCGAUUUUUAUUUCCAGGAACAAAAUAAAGAAUUAUGUCAAUCUUAGAUAUCAUUUUGGGUAAAAAGCCAAACUCUAAAUAAUCAACUAUGGUUGUGAUCCUUCGCAGGCUCUCGUGUUUACAUCUCCGACAUUCAACGAAAAUUGUAACUUAUAGAUUGGCCAAGUUAAAGUUAUAUUUAGGACAUGAGUCCCUUCAGUUUGUCAAAUUGUAAGGACAACAUGAAAACACAUAGAAUAUGUAAUUUGGUCGCUUGAGUUGCCGGUGAUUGAUGCCGAUGCUUUGUCCAGAUUGCCAAGUUCAUCUGUAUGAAUAAUGAUCAAUUGGAAUUCCUUUCAGCCACUUUCAGGUGUGUGGAUGAGAUGUCUAUGGCUACAAAUGAGUCGGUGUCUGGAUGCCGGUGGCCCUGAGCCAUGGAUUAGCAUUAGAAGGUUUUGGAUGCUGUCACAAGGGCACAACAACACAAGGGCCCCGGGUUUACUAGCGGCCACCCUCUUGACAGCACACCCAGUAACAUGCACAUGUAGGCUAUGGCUGGUCGGUCAUGCGUGUGAGUGAUUUUUUACUGUUUAUGCAUGUGGCAAACAUGUUGACAUUAGCAAAAUCCACAAUUUUGAUAUCUUUCUCGUGCAUUUGUAAGACAUAAUCCAUACAAUUUCUAGUAAGAUACUAAUCCUAACAUUACAAUCAUCAAUGCCUCAUUAAAUCUCCUGAGGGUUUGUAAUCUUUUGUAGAAAUCGUAUGGAUUCAGUCUUAUACAUGCGGAGAAACGUAUUAAAAUUAUUGUUAGAAGGUUGAACGACCUACCCUGGGCCCUGGCCCUUAUUUAACGAACAGAGUUGCGCAUCGCAUGAGUCUAAGUCAACAUGAUUGGGCUUUGCCUAGAAACGCUAUAUUGGGCUUUAUACAUUGUUAUUAUUAAACUAAGGCCCUCAACUGGUUCCAAAUAAUUUUUUAUUUUUUAUUUGUAUACAAUAGAUACUAAAUCAUGGAGAGGGGACCGGGAAGAGUUUAAACCUGAGACACAGUGGAAGACCUCAUUCGUCAAGGUAAUCCAUCACUUGCAUUUCUGUUCGUUUAGAAAAGUUUAGGUCAAGCGUCCGCCAUGUUAUCCAUGUGAAGUGACCGCUUUUAUUACAAAACAUACUCGUACAGAUGACGUGAUCACAUACACCUGACGCAAUAUGUUCUCCAUUGUGAUACUACACAAUUAUGCAAAAUAUAACUGGAAAACGACUGUAUUCUAGAAGAUAGUUGCAAUCACAUGUGAACGUGCUUUUUUCUUUGUGUGGUCUUUCCUUUGGUCGGAAGGAAGAGAUGAAUAUGUCAACACAUGAUGCACUUACCAAUUCAUUUGGUGCUGCUGCGCUCUACUUUCCGCCUUAUACUAAAAUACUAUAUACAUUGACCACCAUAAUACUUCGGAUUAAAACUUGUAGUUAGAUGUCACAUUUUAGUUACAGCGUGCAAUUUCAUUGAACAAAUCAACAUUAAUGUUCAUCUACUAGGAACUGAAAACUAAGACUUCACUAAUUAUAAAUGGUACCUUUUAAUCAUUCAAUUACGAUUGUUUAUCACAAGCAUUUUGAUAUGUAUGCAUAUUUUUCUCGCCUUCUAAUCUUUCAUUUUACUCAAUUAUGUUUCACGUAUGCAUACAAGAAAUGAACAAUAACUACCCCAUAUAGUGACAAUGUAGUUGUUGUUGUUGUCGUAACAAUGAUGUUGUCAAAGAGAAGUAUGUGAUAAAAAGCCAAAAAGUAGGUAAUAGCUACACCAUAAUAGUGACUAAUGCAUUAUAAUAUAGUUUAACAUCAUUGUUACCCAGCAACGUAAAACAAAUAGCCACUAUAUGUGGUUACUCUUGUUCACUUUUCUUGCAAUGACGUUUAACGCAUUCUCGACCCUCCUUGCAAGAUGAAUGUCUAAUUGCAAUCAAAAUAAGUUGAGCCCUGGUUUCAAAUAAAUAUGAUAUAGUAGCGACAAUUGUUUACAUAUAAAACCUCAAAACGCACAUGUUGAUCACAUAGUAAUAUUUCACAUGCAUCAAUGAUAAAGUCACUCACUGUCUGUCCUAAUCUUGAUUUGUACAAAAACAAUCAUCAUCGAUCUAGGAAUCAUCUGGAAUCAGUGGCCUGCAGUCACCAAGGAAGUUAGUUAGUUAGUUACGAUCGAUCGGCAGUGCACCAACCAACCAUAUAAGUGCACCACUCACCCAAUCAAUCUAUGCCACGUUACACCAUUUGCAAUUUUACCCCAGUCACACACGCAUUCAAUGGUUCACUGAGGCGUAAGCGCGGUGUUUCCCACGCGGCACGCCAGACCGCCACCAAAACAAAACGCUGACUUGUCACUAAUCACUAUAAAAUCACCCGGCAAAACUCCCUUCCUUUCCUCCAGUUCCAAUUCAUUCCCCAGCUGAAUCAAUGACCAACCAAGACGACACGCCCCCGAUACACGAAGAACGGGCAGCCGGAUCACCGCCGCCAGUUGUUCCCACGGCUCCACCGGAAAAUGAUGUGGAGAACCAGACCCAGUCCCACGCCAGGACUACUGGGACGGGGAUUGGCGUCGGGGGAAUCCUGCGGCGGUGGAAGAGGGAGGACUUGUUGAGGAGAGGCUCUCUGGCUCUGAGGGGACUUGCUCUGGUUUUUUCAUUGCUGGCCUUCAUCAUCAUGGCCAGCAACAAACACGGUCACGGGAACAAUUUCGACGAAUAUGAAGAAUACAGGUGAGGAAUCAAAUUCGGUGAUUAUUUGUUAAUCUGAAUAUCUGUUGUAAUUAAUAAAUAUUAAAUUAUUUUUUUAUGAUUUAAUUUGAUAGGUAUGUGUUGGCUAUAGCGAUUCUGGCGACGUUGUACACAGCGCUGCAAUCAUUCAGACAUGCACGCGAGCUUUCCACCGGAAGAGAAAUGUCUCAGCGACGGACGUCGGCGUUGGCUGACUUCAUCGGCGAUCAGGUAAUUUGUUUAUUAAUAUCCUUCAUUUUUCUAAAACUUGUUUAGAAUUUUUUAAUGAAUACGCGUAAGCUAAGAAAAGAAGGUUCUCCUAAAAGUCUGACUACAAAGCAGACGUCCAUAAAUAUAUUCAAAUUUUUUGUCAAAUAGUUUUGAGAGUGGCAUCACUUUUUAUUUCGGUUCCUAAUAUUUAAACUUGAUAAAAGUGGUUCAUGAGUUGUACAAUAUUAAUUAUUUUGAUCAUUCCGUAAAAACUUUCUGUUUAAUCAAACUAAAGUGACAAAAGUACACUCAAUUUUUGUCAAAUCACAACGGCGUAUUGUUUAUUAAAUUGAUAAUACUUUGUCAUUUUUAGUCCUUAUUUAAUAGAAAUUUUUUCACGAAAUAACCAAAAUGAUUGACGGUGGACAAACUUUGAGAUCGCUUCUAUCGAUUUCAAAUCUCAAUGACUAAAAUGAGGAGUUAUGUCAAUUUCAGAAAUUAUUUUAGCUAAAACUGAGAAGGAAAUUGGUGAAAGGACCAUGACUUUUCGUAUGAGUACCAACCACCACUUAACAAAACUAGAAAUGCAAAUGAAACAAUUGACAAAAAAUUGAUUUGUGAGUUGAUGGUGUGCUGCAGAUUAUGGCCUAUCUACUGAUAUCAUCGUCAUCAUCGGCGAUUCCGUUGACGAAUAGAAUGAGAGAAUAUCAAAACAACCUAUUUACAGAUGCUGCAGCAUCUGCCAUUAGCAUGGCCUUUCUUGCUUUUGUUGCUCAUGCACUAUCGGCUAUAAUUUCUGGUUACAAAUUAUCGACUCAAUCUUACAUCUGAUAGAUUAUUACGAGCUUUUCUUCAUAUUUGUAACAAAAUGUGUUGUAAUUAGGUGCGCAUUAAUUCCUCUGCUUAUUGGAGUUCAGUGUUCAUAUUUGGUUUUGAGGUGAUUUCCUCAUUUUAGAUUAGGGUUUAUGAUGUGAAUAAUAUGAUGAGAUAUGUAUCUUGUUUUACACAUGAGUAUAAGAGAUAUAUACUUAUUGUUGAUUGAUUGUGGGUUGAAUCAUCGUAUUCUAACGAUAUGUAUGUUGAACAAUUGAGUGGCUUUCUUUAUUUAGAGUUGAAGUUUCUGAAGUCACUUACAAUGGGAUGUGCCUAUGUAGGGCCGGAUCCACUCUAGCUCUCUGUGUCCGGAGUAGUCGGAUUUGGAUAUUCGAACCGCUCAAUUUAAAUUAUACAGUCCUCAUUAGCACAUUUCAUUAGCCCAUCGUACAGAAAAGGAAAUCUUUAUGAACGGUUCGGAUCUCUCUCUCUUCAAUGGCCUGGAUUUCUAGAUUCAACUGCUCUGGACAGAGAUUCGAAUAGGAUCUCAACUCUCCAAAUGCAAAGGUUCAUUCCUUUGUGAGAGUCACAUGAUCAACUACGUACUAAUGAAUUUUGUGACAUGAUCAACCAUGUACUAACGAAUUUUUUCUUAGUGAGGUUGAGUUGUACAAAAUUAUAUGACUUCUAAAACUCUAAAAAGUUGGACUUGGAACGCUGGCAGACAUCGUAAGGCUUUGUUGUUAUAUUUUGUAGAUGUUAAGGGUUCUUCAAAAGCCUAUUACGGAAAAACAGAAACAAUUUGGUCUGUCCAUUAUUCAGGCAGCCCAUUAGGAUUGGAUUGGCUUUUUCUUUAAGCACUUUUGGAACUUAAACAAAUCCUAAUUCAUAUCAUUCAACUUGUUACUUCUCUUCAGCUUAGACUAAGAAUAAACAAAUGCAAUACUACCAGUCUUUACAUAAUUACUACAUAGGAACUAUACAACAAAAUGUGUCGUCAUUCGCUUCCUUGGCCCCGAAGACACAUCCUCGUGUAACAUCAUUUCCGAUUUGCAGCGCUCUCAAUUCGCUUUCAGAACUCAGAAAAUCCAUAACUUCCUGCACUCUGCAUUUUGAGUGUAUACGGCGGUUGGCUUUCAGUGGUUGCUGGCUGCCUUGCGUUCUGAAGAGAGUUGAGGUAGCUCAAAUUAGAAUGGUUAGGCAAUGGCAAGGGCCUCACAGCCAUGGACACAUUGUUGCUGUUAUUAUCGGCAGCAGGUCUACUUGCAUUGCUAUAAUUCCCGCUGCCUCGUGCUGCCGGAACAUCGUGGUUGUGCUUCCCUUCGUACGUGGUGAUCACCGCCCUUGUGUCCUGCGAUGCUCUUUCCACAUGCUUCCUCACUGGACAACCUACGGACGUGCAUUUGUAGUAGCUCCUGAAGAUUGGAAAGCAGUUGAAAAUGUUAAUUAGCAGCUAAUUUCAAAAGGGGUUGCUUGUAGUUAAACACAUUGAUAGGGUUUCUACCUUGGAUUUGGAUUUCCCUUCACUACUUUCUGUCCAUAUUUCCUCCACCUAUACCCGUCAUCCAGAAUAUCGAUUUCGCUCGUUGUCUGCACUACAAUUCUCGGUUCUUUCACAAUUCUACCGCCAGAAGAUGCAUAUGACUGAUCAUUUGCAUUGUCUCCCUUCCUGCUAAAUACGAUAAAUAAGUAAACAAGAUUGAAUUUUAUAAAAAAAAUUCUACGAACACAUACAAAAUUGGCAAAUCCAGUCAGAAAUUUGUAUGAGCUUACCAUCUUUUCGCCUCAGGUUCGUUUUCAUCUUCAGCUCCUACUGAAUUACUUAUCGGAGAGUUUUGUUCAAACUCAUCCUCUCCAAUUGAGGUAGAAGAAUCCUCCUGUAGUGAGACGGACUCAACUUUCGGAUUGGAUAACGUCGGAACGGAUUGAUCAGAGAUUCCAUAGAAAGAACCCUGAAUCGAGUUGGAGCUUGAUCUUCUUGUAGACUGAGGCUUAGGAUGGUUGUGAUUACCCUUGUACACAAUUUGAGUAAUCUGUCCAUCCAAUGAUCUCUCAACCUUCUUCUUUGUGGGGCAAUUCGGAAACGUGCACUUGUAAUAACUCCGCGGAUUUUCGCUACCCUUCACUUGUUUCUGCCCAUACUUCCUCCAAUUGAACCCGUCAUCCGAUUUUUGUUCUCGAGCAUAUUGCGAACAUUGAUUAGAAUGCAAGUAAUCGGACUUUGGAGCACCAUUAAGUCCAUUACUCUGCGUAUUCGCUUCAAUUGGCUCGAAUUCGGACUUCACUCCCGUCUUCUCAGCACUAAAAUCCCAUGCUUGCCUUUCUCCUUUGAAUGGUUCUUCCUGUUCAAACGAAAACGAUCAUUAAGCUACUAAUAUCGCCUAAUCCUCUAUUUUAUCGCAGUUAAAAAAAUAAAAUAAAAAAAUAAAAAGCUUCCAACUUUAAUUAACUAGUAAAAAUAAGCAAAGAGCUCUUACCACUGAAACCAUGCUAGAAGAAGAUUGAAGAUUAGUAGCAGGCCUCGAUUCCGGUUGGAACGAGAAAUCGGAGAACAAUUUCGGCUCCUCUUUAUCCUUAAUUCCUUGCUGGGUGUCUUUAGUAUUAUUCAUCCAAUCGAAAACCUGACUCGAAAAAGCUCCUGUUGUUGGAGAUUCAAGAUUCUGCAGAAAAAGAAAAGAAAAAAAAAACCAGAAAACCCAUCAAUAAACACACAAAAAAGAACAUAAAAAACCCAUCAAAAAUUUAAGAUCGUAUAAAUUUUAUAUAUCUUACAUAUGAGGAGGAGAGGAACAUGGGUGAGCUGAGAAAAUCGGUGGGACUAAAAGCCGGCGUGGAAGUCAAGUAAGAAGAAGGGGAAACAGGGGGAGGAGAGAGAGGCAGAGAAGGAGGCUGGAGUGACUUGAACUUGGGGAUAUCAGUCCCGUUUCUGUCCGCGAACCGGUUCGGAUUAGAAGAAUAGUCCGAGAAUAGUCCCCCCCAAUUAGUCCUGUCCUGUCCAAUCCCGCUGUUCUCCAUGUUGCUUGUGAGGAGGUGAGUGAAGGAAGAAGUCAUGUUUUUUGCUUCUGGGUUUGAGAGGAAAAUGAGAGGGAUGAGGAUAGCAAUUUAAAGGGUUGAAUGCAAGUGACAUAUGUAGGAGAGAGAGGAGAGAGAGAGAGAGAGAGAGGGUAUUUUGGUCACUUUGGGAUGUUUCUAGGAAGCUCAGUGAAAAGUUUGACCGUGGAAAAAUGGAAGAACUGGUCAAAUAUUGUGGGUUUGACUUGACUGCUCAGAGUGCCCACGUAAGACUGGGUGGUGGCUCAUAAUGCACAAGCUAGGAUGACAAUUUAGGAAUAAGAUUCUUUCUGGAUUCUUUUUGUAGAGAUUUGGAUAAUCAAUCAAUUUUGUUCAUUUAUUAUACAUCGUGCGAUUAGUUUUCAUUAGGUAAUAUUUAUAUUAAAUUUAAAAUUUAAAAUGAUUUUUAACGUACAUCGUGUGGUUAGUUUUCGUUGAGUAUUAUUUAUAUUCAAUUUAAAAUUUAAAAUUUAAAAUAAUUUUUAACAGCACGAUGUACAAUAUACAGACAUGAUUGAUUAAUUUCCGGAUUUCCACAAACGGUUAAAUUCGGUAAUCGACACAAACGGUUUGGUUUUAGGAUUAAAUUUUGGUUGCUUCACGGUUAUGGUGGGUGGCUCAUUAUGCACAGGUUCCUCCUCUGAUGCGAUUAGAUAUGGCGGCUUCGCCACCCUGUGCGUUCCAAUCCGGCAACUGCCACCUUAACUUGUGAAAUUUGCGGAGCUUGGUUGAACGAUGAAGUUGUCGGUGGCCUUGGUUUGAGUAUCACAAUCCUCCACAGAGAUUAGCUGAUAUUGUGGUUUCAUUCUCGGAGUAGUUGCAGCAAUUUUGUUGUCUCGUCUAACAAGCGUUGUGAUCGUGCUUUUGAAAUGGUUGUAUGUGGUUGUCACCCAUGUGCGAUGAGUUAUGUGGUACUAUCUUUCAAUGAUGAUUUUAUGUGGUCUUGCUCUUCUGCGAUGAUUUUAUGUAGUCUCGCUCUUGAAUGAUCAUCAGUUUGCACACUUUAUAUUUGUUGUGUCUAUCAUUUUUGUGACAAAACUAUACUGGCAGUGUUUGUGCGUAUAUGCUUGUGGUAUCCAUACAAAGAUUUUACUCUAGUUGUUUAAUUGUGUAGGUUCAUUAUAGAUCAUUUACUCGGUCACUAGAGCUAUGUAAAUUCACACUUGUGUAUUUGUUUAUGUUGAUCAAUGAAUACAACUCUAUCGUUUCUUAUAAAAAAAGUAACAAAAUAUUUCUUUUUAAGAUUAAGAACCAAAGAAAACAAAUGAAGACUAAUGUGGACCAAACAUAAAAAUUAAGGGAGUUUUAAUGAAAAUGACCUGACACUAUUCAUUCUUAAUCAAAAAGACAUUUUGUGUAUGAAAAGUCCAUAAUUUUGUGUAUGAAAAGUCCAUAAUGGAUCGGGCUCUUUUCUUUAUUUACUCUUAUGCCAUUACAGCGGGGUCCAUAGUGAUGUUGACAUUUCUGUCUGGGAAUACAUCAUUUUACAUUAUGCUAUUAAACUUAUGCUAAUUUACAGCUAGCUCUUCACGCUUCCAUCAUGUUGUGGAUGUUAUGCAGCUCUUCUUCUGUCAAAUUAUUUCAAUAUUGUUCAUCGCCUUCUACUAGCUCCGCAUCUCUUUCGAAUGGUUGAGAUAGUGGUGGUCUGUAUGGGAAGAAAAGCUCCCUUAUAUACAAAUCCUAGAGUAGAAUAACGUUCCAAUAUUUACAACUUUUUGAAUAGUGACAACACACUGUUUCUGAAAGUUGUCAGCACUGUUUCUGAAAGCUGCAUGUCAUGUCAUGUGAAUUUAUGUUGUCUUGGUUGCUGCAAUGUUUGCCACAUUUUCUUUUGCAUGUGAAUCCAUGUUGUCUUGGUUGUUGCAGUGUUUGCCACAUUUUCUUUUGCAUGUGAAUAUGUUGCUUGAUUUGUCUCCUGGUGCACAAUUUUUUGCAUGUGAUAUCCCUGAAAUGUUUUCUCCCUUAAAAAUACUCUCUCCCUUGUCUUCUUUUACAUGCCCAUUUUGGGUAUUAUUGAAAUGUUUUGUCCUUAUGGUUAAAAUGAAAGUUUUUUUGGGGGGGGGGGGUUUGGUUAGUUUUCCAAAAAAUUAAAGGGGAAAAUUGGUAAUGAACUCUUAUUAUAAUACUUUGCUUGCGACCCUUUACUCACCAAUACUCCAACAUAGAGAUUUUAUAUUUGUCUUAUUUGGUUCAUUUUUUAAUUUUGCACUUUUCUUUGCUAAUUGACAAUACCACCUAGUUAAGCUUUGAUUAUUGCUUCAUUUUUUAAUGAUUGAUUAGGUCAAGGAAAACAUGAAAUAAACAGAGUGUUGCUACACCUACCUUAUUGUCCUAUUUUUCACCCACUUCGUAAUAAAAAUAUUAGUGACAUAUUUAUGCUUAUAGAAAACGACUUUUAAACCCCUAUUUAUAAAUUCAUUAUAGAACAAUACUUGAGUAAUCACCAACGAGGCAUUUUUAAAAAUCCUUUAAACAUGCAACCAAACACCUCCUCCCUCUUUCAAACUCGGUGAAAUUCAUGCAACUCACCUUUUCUCCCUCUUCCUUCGCCUACACCAACCAGACCUUCCAUCGUCCUUUUUCACCACCGACGUCGCUGCAAAAGUCGAUUAUAAAACAUAAAGCCGUAUUUUAAAGUCAAAUUCGCAGCGGAUUUCAUCUCUAUCAAUCUCACUAAGAAAGUGGAGUUGAUGGUUGGAGAAAAGAUUAAGGUAGUGUUAACAGAGGAGAGAAGUUGGAGGAUUGGAGGGUGGAUUUGGGGGUUGCCGGAGAAGAGAGCAACUGGUGAUGUUGCUAGAUCUCAAUGGUGGAGGGUGGAUUGGGGGUGAACGCUGGAGAAAUGAGGGACUCGGGGUAGGUCGCUGAAGGAGUCGGGGUGGGUCGUCGGAGAAUAUUGUAAUAUUUAAUAGUCAUUCUUCCAAAAAUUUUAAAAGGAAUUUAGAUAUACCAUUUCAAUUUUUUAACAUUUUAGGAUGGACGGGAUUAUAAUGCAGGUGAGAAAUAAGAUAAUGUGGUGGGUCUAGCAUCACUCAAUAAAUAAAAUGUAAGUUCAAAUUAAAUACCAAUAUUAUAAAGUUUUUUUUUUAACAAACAAUAUUAUCUAUACUAAAGGGUGGGGAGCGAGUUAAGCCUCAUAAUGAGAUAACAAUAACCUAAGAAAUGGUGGGCAAAUACACUUAUAAAGCAUAUAAACGUUUAUAUUUUUGUCUCCAUUGCACAUCACCCACAUACCACUGGUGCAAGUGCAAGAAAUUAUCGCCAUCGUCACUGUUGCCGAAUUUGUUGUUCGAUUGUCGUAAAUUUUAAGUUAUUGUUGACCAAUGAUUUAAAAAAAUAAUAUGUGUAAUUUUUUCACCUUCAAUUAUGUUUUGUUGUGAGUGUAUUGUUUUUUUUUUUUUUUUUUUUUGCAUGUAUGCAUAAUAAAAUUGGAGAACUUAUCAAAAUUUCAUUACUUAACAUAUUUUUUUAAGGUCACUUUUGGACAGUAAAAUUAAGAUUGAAAAUUUUGAUCAGCUAAAAUUUGAUCAACCGAGUGCAGGAAAAAGUUGGUAGGAUUGAGUGGUAAUCAUGUAAUUAUUUUGAAUUACAGUAGUAUUUAUAGAAUUUUUUUAGUUGAAUUUCUAUUGGAAUGUAAACUAGAAACAUGAUAUUUUAGCUAAAAUUUUUCUUAGAGUAAACUAAAAACGAGGUACUUUAGCUAAAAAAAAUUCUUAGAAUUGGGAAUUAAAUUUCACCGGAGAAUCACUGCUACAGAUAUAAUUAAUAGGCGCCCCUUGAACAAAAUGGGUCGUAGUGUAGUGGUUAGCACUCUGGACUUUGAAUCCAGCGACCUGGGUUCGAAUCCCGGCGAGACCUUUUAUUUUUUGUGACAGCUACAUUUAGUUAUUGAUUAGGCUCGUUGAGAUUGUCAGGGUGUUCAUAGAAAUAAAGAAUUAUUUGGUCAUGAGAAUCCUCAUGGGAAACAUUUCAAGCUAAGGAGAAAUGAACGUAAAAGGAAAUGCGAGGAAAAGUAAGAGCAUUACUUUUUACUUUUCAUCUAUGUACUCAUCAUACUAUGCAUGUCAAUGCACAUAAAGAUAUGUAUAAAUAUUUUAACUUGAAGAAGUUCACAAUCUCUUUUAAUCCAUGUUAAUUAUGCACCAAAACAGUAAUGAAACCAAACUUAUACUAUUUACGACAUACGAUUUUUGACAUUUCUACUUUUCCACUCUUCAUCUUUAACCAUAUGCGGGUCAUCCACAUUGUUACAACAAUAAGGAUAAUAUUUAGGGCAACAUUAUGCAUAUUCCCUUUUGUACAAAGGCCAUCUCAUCUCUCAAGUUAAUGUCCAAAAUAACAUCACAAGAACCAAAACGCAUCAGUUAAUAAAGUAUAAUUACAUGACUAACUAGAAACGAAAAAAGCAGUAUACAUGGAGCAAGUUGAGGAUUCUGCCUCCUUUACAAUGUAAAUACUCCAACCAAAAACUUCUCAAAUAAGCAAACGAUUACAGAGAGCAUUUUCUUUUUAAUAUAGUUCGCUGGAAACCCGCUUUAUCAAGUAGACUAACAAAUAAUUUGUUGGCUCCUCCUAUAACCAAUGCGAGCCUUCUUUCCUUCCACCUUAAAGCCUGUUUGCUCAGUGCAAUUUUGAGAAAUGGGUUUGCAGUUUUUUAUCGAAAAUUGUUUUAUCCGAAGCUUUUGGAGCAAUCUCAUUUGUUUGUUAGCCAUUUGAAGCUAAACUCAACCUGAAAUUUGUAAUAUUUUCAUUUUUCAAUUUACAUUUUUUUUACUAGGAUUUUUUAUAAUUGAUUAUAUGACAUGGUCACCGAUACUUAUUCGAAGUUGACGUUCGAAAUGUCAAUACAAUCAGUGUUCGAAAUGUCAAUACAAUCAGUGUUGUAGAGCGCCGAUUAUAAAGAAGAUUUGAACAUGUUGAUUCAAGAACAAAGUGGCAACAUAAAGAGAGCGAGAGAAGAACUAAACAUAUACAGUGGGUUGGUGUCACCCACCAUGGAAGGUUUGUUCAACGCUAUCGAGGGCUUGUUUGAGGCGUUCACACUGUUGAGGUUCACAAAAUACAGCAACAAAGUCUUUGUAACUGAACAAAAGAAGAGAAGCCUUCACUUACCUAGUUAAUCCGCAUUUGUUACCCUAAACAUUUGUCACAUGACAUUUUAAUCCUUUUUCUAAUUCAAACAUGUCGUGUUCUUCGUUUAAUAGCACACUGGCUCCUUAUGUACUCAAACAUUCCCUACUCUUUACCCGCAAGAAUUUUCCAACAUCCCAAAUAAUUUUCUACUCUUCACUGGCCCCCUUCUAUACUCAAACAUUCCCUACUCUUGACUUACAAGAAUUCUCUAACAUCCCAAAUAAUUCUGUACUCUUUACUUGCAAGAAUUCCCUCGUCUAUUGAAUGAUUUUUCUAAAUGUACUAAAAAAAGAUCAAAUUUAGUUUACUCCAACAUUCCAAAUAACAAGAUGAUAACCAAAUAAUAAGGUAGAGAGAAAAUGAUACAAUCAUACAAAUAAUUCUAUAGUCUCAAUUCAUACUUUUUCUUGCGACGCCUUCCUCAUGUGAUUCAAAUGAUCGGUAUUUUACAACAGGGUGUUUUUUCCAGCCAACAAGAACACCAAGUCGGCAACAAGGGUAAGGGUUUAGAGACAGGUCAAAACCUGUUCUGAUACCAUUUGUCACAUUCCGGUCCAGGACGGACCACUUCCUAGGCCCGCUCCACCACCGUAACACGAUAUUGUCCGCUUUGGGUUCCGACCACACCCUCAUGGUUUUGUUUCUGGGAACUCACGAGCAACUUCCUAGUGGGUUACCCAUCAUGGGAGUGCUCUGGUCACCUUCUUGCUUAACUUCGGAGUUCCGACAGAACUCGGAGCUAGUGAGCUCCCAAAAAGCCUCGUGCUAGGUAGGGAUGAGAAUAUACAUUUAAGGAUCACUCCCCUGGGCGAUGUGGGAUGUUACAAUCCACCCCUCUUAGGGGCCAAACGUCCUUGUCGGCACACUUCCGGCUAGGGAUUGGCACUGAUACCCAGAUAAAAGUGUUUAGGGUUUGAAUUGUAUGUUUAUUCUUUUCUCUAGGAGGUAAAUAUAUAGUUGUACAAUAUCCCACAUAAAAAGAAAUAAGUAUCCCAAUUAUACAAGGAAUAAAUUAUAAGAUUACAUUCCUAAACUAAAUUGUUGACUCACGCCAACAGGCUCCUCCUAUAACCAAUGCGAGCCUUCUUUCCUUCCACCUUAGAGCCUGUUUGCUUAGUGCAAUUUUGAGAAAUGGGGUCCCAGUUUUUGAUCAAAAAUUGUUUUAUCUGAAGCUUUUGGAGCGAUCUCAUUUGUUUGUUAACCAAUUGAAGCUAAACUCAACCUGAAAUUUGUAAUAUUUUCAUUUUUCAAUUUACAUUUUUUUUUACUAGGAUUUUUUAUAGUUGAUUAUAUGAUAUGGUCACCGAUACUUAUUCAAAGUUGACGUUUGAAAUGUCAAUACAAUUAAUGUUGAAGAACGCCGAUUAUAAUGAAGAUUUGAACAUGUUGAUUCAAGAACAAAGGUGGCAACAUAAAGCGAGCGGGAGAAGAACUAAACUUAUACAGAGUGCGUUGGUGUCACCCACUAGUGGGAAGGUUCGUUCAACGCUGUCGAGGGCUUGUUUGAGGUGUUUGCACUGUUGAGGUUCACAAAAUACAGCAACAAAGUCUUUGUGACUGAACAAAAGAAGAGAAGCCUUCACUUACCUAGUUAAUCUGCAUUUGUUACCCUAAACAUAUGUCACAUGACAUUUUAAUCCUUUUUCUAACUCAAACAUGUGUUCUUUGUCUAAUAUCACACUGGCCCCUUCUAUACUCAAACAUUCCUUACUCUUUACCUACAAGAAUUUUCCAACUUCCCAAAUAAUUUUCUACUCUUCACUGGCCCCCUUCUAUACUCAAACAUUCCCUACUCUUGACUUACAAGAAUUCUCUAACAUCCCAAAUAAUUCUCUACUCUUUACUUGCAAGAAUUCCCUCGUCUAUUGAAUAAUUUUUCUAAAUGUAUUAAAAAAGAUCAAAUUUAGUUUACUCCAACAUCCCAAAUAACAAGAUGAUAACCAAAUAAUUCUAUAGUCUCAAUUCAUACUUUUCUUGCGACGCCUUACUCAUGUGAUUCAAAUGAUCGGUAUUUUUAAGGUAAAAAUAAGGGGAACGUUUACUCAUCACUUUCAUACAGCAAUCUCAUAAAUCAAACUCAUCCGGAGUCAUGCUCCAAAUAUCACAAUAACCAAACUCAUUAGUUGAUAAAGUACACGAGUUACAAGGAAAAUGAACAUUUAACAUAGCAUCCAAACCGUCCAUUCAUUAAACCUUUUCGAUGGAUUUGGUAAGAUUGGUGCCAAAGUCUACAGCUUACAUAGAAAAGCCAUUGUGUCAAGGUUUCAGAACUUCAAAAACUUACAUCCAGUAAGCUGUGACAAAUAAAAGAAAAAACCAGUACUAUACAUCAAGCAACACGGGGACUUUGCCUUCUUAACAAGAGUCUAAAAAUACUUAAAAACAUCUCAACCGAAACAAUCGUGGGGAAAACUCAUUGCAUGAUAUCUUCUAAUUGUAUUUUCCAACACUGAGGGUCCAAUUCAGCCUGUCAAUAAUACAAACUGAAGUUAAUAAGACAAUCAAGUACAAUCAACAGACAAAUAUUAUGAGUUCUCUAGCAGGGAUAUUGGAUCGAAGGCACAAAUCUGAGUGCAACGAACAUGUAACUUGAUUAUUGUUUGUUAUCGAAUCACAAUUUUUUUUCAGUUAUGUCCUAGAUCUUUAAUGACAUCAGACUAAACAAAUUUUCUGGAAAGUUAGCAUCUUCGUAGCUUUAAUGAUUAAAAAGUAAAAGCACUUACCCUGAAGAACUUAUUUCUCCACUGAAAUACACAACCGCGUGCUUCUAAAUGUUCGUAAAGAGCUUGGGGUAGCAAUGACUUGAAGGUUGCUUGGAGCUUUACUUUGGUUAGCCCCCCACAGGCCAAUAAGGCAGCUGCCAGUCCACUAGGGCUCAAGCCCUCCAAGUGCAGGAUGGUUAAGCUCUGUAGGCAACUGAUACUGCCUAAGGAUAAUAGCCCCACAUCUGUAACUGAGGUAUAUGACAAAUUAAUCUGCAAGACAAUAGGAACGGUCUGGUAAAAUACAAGUGUCUCUAUCAAACUGUAAGCUCACAUGAAAGCAAGAAAUGAGAAAGCGUACUUGUCUAAGGUUCUGAGAAAAGUGAGCAAGCAGGAUCAUUCCAGCAUCAUCAAUAUUUGAACACUUCUUUACAUCCAGCUUGGUCAGUUGCUUGCAUCCCACAGCAAUUGCUGCUAGACCCAGAGAUGUGAUAAGAGGACAUCCUCGACUUUCAACAGUGUUCAGACUUGAGCAUUUUGACAACGAGAUUAACGAACUAUCAGUAAUAUCUUUGCAAUAGGCUAUGUUAAUAACCUCAAGUCCAGGACAACCUCUAGCAAUAGCUGAUAUGCCUGAAUCUGAAAUUCCUGUGCACCUAAAGAAAACAAACACAUUCAGAUUAAUUCCUGGUCCAGUCAGUCCAUGAAUAGAUGUUUACGCAAACAAAUAUUUGGCACCAACACAGAAGAUCUUGUAGAGAAGUUCGGAUUUGUUUCCUAUUUGAAUUAGUUAGACUUUUGACGACAUAGAUUAGCAUGCUUUGAAAUCAAUGAGACCUUAGAUUAAGCAUUCAAUAGUUUCUCUGGCAGACUGUAUAACAUUGUUGCACUUGCAUGACCUACACGUUUCUGUGCACAAAGGGAAAAUGAAAGGAUAAAAAAAAAUUACAACGAAGGUUCAACUGUUCAAGGAUCACGAGCUACACACCUGUAUAGAUCGAGCUCUACUAGUUUUGAACAGCGCAUGCCAAUGUUCACAACGCCGUCAUUAGUUAUGUUCAGGCAAAUUCCUACUUUUAAGCUGGAGAGGUUGGAACAUCUAGAAAUGGACUUCAGACCUGCACAUAGAAGCUACAUAAGUAUGCAAUUAAAACAGCAGUUCUUUAUUACACUGAGGUUGAGCGAGAGAAAAACCUUCGUCGUCGACUUCAUUAUCUGUUAUGUCAAUCUCCUCAAGAGUUUGGCAUCUCUGUCCAAUAAGGACAAAUGCUUCUCGAGGAACCAGGGUACAUGACUCCAUCCUAAGAGAAGUGAGUGCGGUACAUGAUUCUGACAACUGGGCAAUAGAAGCAUAAGUUAUCUUUCGGCAGCAUGUGAUAUCUAGCUUCUGCAAAUUCUUGUGCUUUUUCAAAAUAGAGGAGAGACCCUCAUCAGUCACCCCCACACAUUUACUUAAGCUCAGCUCCCUUAGAGAAAUGCACCAGUUUCCGAUGGCUUUUAGUCCAGCGUAGGUAACCAGGCAACCAUCUAAUUUGAUUGACUGCAACGUCGGAAGCUUUCCCAAGCUAUCGGCAAGAGCAAGAGUCACCUGAGCACCAGUGCCACCACAGUGCAACGUGUGAGUUGAGAAAUCAAGCUGUUAACUAUUAAAAAGACUCAACGAAAGUCAAUACUUACAGGAGAGCCAUAUGACAAUACGAGUUGCUCUAAACAUCCGUCACUACCGCUUGUUAGGGCAGACAACCCAACAUGACUAAUGUUCUGACAGCUAGAUAUGUCAAGUUUCUGUCAAUGGUAAUAACAGCAUGUGUCAAAAUUUGUCGAAACAGAAAUGUUAACUCUGACGAGUAACUAGCACGAAUUGUCUAUUACACUGAAUAGCAUCAAAUUUAAAUAUCGUCCCAACAAAAUAAUCUCGAGUAAUCAGAAGAAAUAUAAUCAAAGAGUCAAAGUUUUCAAUUUUUUAAUCGCACAUAUGACAACCCCAAUCCAAUCUUCGGAUGUUAUGUUAAAUAGAACCAGCUAAUCAUAUCAAUAUAUGAUUAAAACAAGACGCUAAGAAAACAGGCAAUCUCGAACCGAACCAGCUAAAGCAUAGGUAUACCUUAAGUGACUUGCACCCAUGUUUGAAGGCCGAAAGGCCAUCAUCAUCGAUACUGAAGCAUCCUUCUAGAACCAAAUCUUCAAGAUAUUGUAACUCGAAGAUCGAUGGCAAGCAUCUAUCUGUGAUCUGCAGCAAAUCAUGAACAAACAUAUCACUAUGCAGCCAUUAAAAAUCAUUAAAUUUGACAAAGACAAUCCAAAAGCAGGGUGCCUUUCAAAACAAAACAAUAUUAAAUAAAUAAAUAAAAAACAAACAUUUACCAUUAACGGUAUAAGGCUAAAAACAUAAACUUAAAUCAGUAAAAACAAGAAUUUACCGGCAAGUAAGAAAGAUCCAAACUUCGAAGAUCUUUACACUUUACAGCAAGCAAUCCGACCCCCAAGUCGCUUACACGGAGGCACCAUUUCAAAUUAAUUAAUCUCAGCUUUCUGCAACCAACUGCGAUACACCCAACACCCAUAUCCGUAAUCAUCUUGCACCUCCCCAUCCACAGCCUCUCCAAAUUCUUCGCCUCCGCCAGAGCCGCCACCGCGGAGUCUCUGAGCUCGGUGGCGUUCGACAGGUCGAUCUCCACCAGAUUCUUGCAAUUUGCAGCCAAACUGAGCAAUCCAAUUCCCGAGAAGCAAUUCGACCGCGAAAGAUCGAUCGAUCGGAGGGUGGACCUGCAGGCAUUAGAGAUGGCGACGAGGGAAGCGUCCGGGACUCGCGAGCAGAGCGUGAGAUCGACGUGGGAGCCAUUUGGGUAGCGGUGGAGGACUCUCGCGAGGUGGUCGGAGCGCAAAGGCUUGAGCUUUUUGCGAUGCUUGGAUUCUGCGGCGUGGAAGGACUUGCAGACCAAAGAGAAGGACUUUUUGUCAAUUGGUUUUUUUUCGAGGAAGUCGAGGAUUAUGAAUAUGAUUUCAUCGGAAAGAACAUGGAAGACGUUGUUGUCGUUGUUGGUGUUGUUGGGUAGAAUGGUCCUUUGCCUCUUCAUGGUCUGAGAUUUUUUUCUGCGAUUUGGAUGAAGAAAUGGGAGCUGAUUUUAUAGGUGGAAGAAGAUGGAGAAUAAUGGUGUUAUGGGAAGUAACCGUUCGGCAGAUACACUCUGGUUUUCGGUUUUUGGGUAGGUUGUGGGUGGAGAGAGACAGAGAGAUAGAGAUAGAGAUAGAGAGAGAGAGUUGAUGAUGGUGGAGUGAAGAUGUUGGAGAAAGGAAUUUUACAAUAAUGGCCUUGUGCUGGGUACUUCCUAUUAUUGCUUGUUUCCAUAUGCAAUGACUAUUUUAUCCUUUCUUUCCUAGCUUAUCCUGGAGUGACCCCAAUGACUUAAACUAAAUCCAAUCAAUUGGAUCUUCUUAUUUGUAAGAAAUAAUGGAUGGUGUAUAUGAGAAAUUUAACUUUUAAACUAUAGAAUUACAUGAUCAUUUCUUUUAGGUAGUGAUUCUUGAACUUAAUUUUUCUUCCCAUGUAAUCCUUUUAUGUUUUUGUAGGCACAUUUUUUGCAAAAUAUUUUCAUAAGCCAUUAGAUUAAAUAAUGAAACGAGAAUUUAUUGACACAUAAAGAGAAAGGGGUAAUAAUAAACAUCGCUAUUCCUGUGGCUUUAUACUUGAAUAUACACAUUUCAUAAAUUUAUAUAUGAAAAAUGACCUGAUUUUGAAACUCUUUUUUAUGCACUUGUUUUUGUUCUAAAUUUAGAUUAAAUAAAUCAAGAAAAAAAAUUAGGUAACUGAAUUAAAGAAACGGGCAAGUGUGAAAAUCACCUUGAAAAAAACCCCAACGAAAAUGGCAAAUUGGUAAAAAUGAAAAGCACCAAAGAUGGGGUAGUGUGGUCAUUUAAGAUGGGAAAGGAGACUCCGUACGGGGAAGGACGGGGAAGGACGGGAAAGGACGGGAGCAAUUGGCGAAAGUAUGGGAGGGCACGUUCGGUAUUGAAAAAGUCGUUUUCUUAUCGCAAAGUGGCUUUAUUUGGUGGAGGACAUAUGUGAGGAAGGACAGAUGCAAGUGCAGACAGUACGAACAACCUGACACAAACAAAUAUAAAAUAAUAAUUUAUAAAAUAAAUUAAAAAAGAUUUAAAAAAAAAAAAAACCAAAAUGGAAUAAAGAUAUUCGGAGCAGAUAUCGCCGUACUUAUAUAGUUGCAACUAUGUAGUACCAGCCUUACUCAGAUAAGAACGGAUGGACAGAAAAAAAGAAGAUAAAUUAAAGUUUAUAUAUAAUUAAAAAAGGAGCUUUUCUCUGAUACUGGUCAGGAAGGUUGUGACUCAUGCAGGGCUAUUUGGGUUACCAUCUUCCGCUUGCUUGGUCAUUUGUAUUCCGAAUUGCCCUCUUUGUUUUAGGAUAUUACCAUCCUGCCAUCCUUCGAGGCAUUGGCAGAUGGACAUUGGGACCAAGAUGGUCUUAGGAUCACUCGGAGUUCAGGAAAUAUACGCAUGAAAGUCUUUUAAGGGUCCUCCGAAAGUUUAGUGCGGGUCCAUUUUGUAUCUACCAAGUGUUUAAGGUAAUGUUUGCUAGACAUAUCUCGACAGGUUGAGUUGACAACACUUGACAAAUUCUCUCUAUAUUACUCAUCAAUUGCUUCGACAUAUGUCGAUAUUUGUUGACAUGUGUACAACGUGGUUUGGUUGAUGCAACAAGCCCAUCCAGUGUUCGACGAAAUGAGUGUAAAUAAACUAAAUAUUUUUUUGUUUCUAUCUAAAAACUUAUAUUUUAAAACUAGGACCCUCAAGGUUCGAAUUCUGGAUCGGGUCACUGAUUCAAUGACUCGAAAUCAUUCUUUCUCUUUAUAAUCAUUAAAAAUUAUUUAAAAAAAAUUAUUUAUUUAAAUCAUUUAUUCAUAUAUAUGUGCCAGAUAAACCUUCUAUGAUUACAAGUAACAAUUUAUGGUAAAACGUCAAUUAUUUUUAUUAUUUAAAAAGUAAAUAAACUUUCAAAAUGUAAUCUUUAACAUCGAUGACGAUAAAAGAGAAUAAAAGUUUUGAUCACGAGAAGUGUACUAUAGAUUUUAUUUUUUUGUGGCAAGAGAAAUAGUUCAAAAGCUAAGUAUUGAUAAGGAAGGAUGUGACUCAUGCGGCGCUAUGUGGGCUAUCAUCAUCUUACAACCUGUACGAUACCUUAUGUUCUCAAAACACCCCUCUGUUUUUCUGAUAUUACAAUCAUGCCAUUCUUCCAGGGAAUUCUUUCGUUUUGGGUGGCGGAUUUGCAGCUGAUCUGGCCUUCAAUUCCUGAUCGAUUUCAUAUUUUAUUCGGAUCAUAUCUUGAAAGAACUCUGGUAUGAUCUGAGGAAAGUAUUUAAGAAAAAAAGCAAAGAUAAAUUCAAGGUGUAGUGGAGCAGGAAAAAAGUGUGUGAAUAAAUAAAGAAGUAAUACAGAAUAUUAAUGUAUGCUCUUAUUUUAGGAUGAUUCAGGGUAGCUAAACCUAAUAACCCAUCCAUGUGUUGGUUGAGCUGGCCACAACAUAAAUUUUUCAAUCCAUUUGUUUAUAUUCUUGCCUUUAGAUUUUGUGAACAUGAAAGUUGGUAAAAGGCAUCUCAAGAGUAUUAGUAGUUUCGCAAGUGAUGGAUUGCCCAAGUGAUUAGAGAUGUUCUUUUUAGCUCACUGCGUUUCGUGUUCAAACAUUCCUCAUCUUUAUACUAGUUUAUGAGCUUCUUUCUUGAAAGGCAAAGUUGUUACAGCACUCAAAAAGUAUUAGGUAGUUUUUCUGAAGAAAAAAGCUCAAUUUUUUUUAUGUUAUUUUUAUGGAAUAAGGAAAAUGUGAAUCUAUAUAUAGAGAGGGGAAGAUAAAGUUGAAUAUCAGAGUGCGCAAUGAAUGAGACUAACAAAAUAAUAGAAAUAUUAUUAAACAAACGAGAAUGCUGAAAGAGUUACAAAACCCUAAGAGAUUACAUUGUGGCUGACUUGUUAAAACUACCUAAUACAAGCACUAUUAUAUAUAGUGAAAACUAAAGCACAAUCCUAAUCCUUAAAGGAUAUAGAAAAUUCAAACAUCCUUGUCCCACAAGAAAACCAUAAACAAAAAUAAACUAAUAACUAAUUUUCCAACACCCCCGUCAAACUCAUGGUGGUACACGUCAUGAGUUUGCCAACAAGUAGAUGCGGAUGCAAGACUCCAAAUUCUAGUGCUAGUGCUAAUGCCAAUUCCAAUGCCAAUGUCAAUACCAAUGCCAAUACCAAUACCAAUGUCGAUGUCGAUGCCAAUACCGAUGCUGAUGCCGAUGCCAAUGCCGAUGUCGAUGCCAAUGCCGAUGUCGAUGCCAAUGCCGAUGCUACUGCCAAUGCCGAUGCCGAUGUCAAUGCCGAUGCUGAUACAAGAUUUCCAACUUCCGAACAAACUUGAACAAAAAACAAAAAAUCCAACUUUCGUAACGUCACUCAAGUGGUCACCAGUCCAAGCAUUCGAGCGAUCGUCGCAGUGAGAACAACAGACAAACCAAACAAAUCAUAUUUCUUUCUUGCCCGUGUGGGCCUAAGCCUCAAACAAUCAACCAAUUUUUUCUUUUUUCCUUUGCAGCAAUACAGACUUGUGGGUACUCCUGCAGGCUGCGGUGUUCAAAGGUGCAGAAGCAGAGUCAUGGGACAAAAAACGAACGAACAAUUUUUUUUCUUCUUGCAAACAAUCAAUACCAACUAACAAUCUGAACACAAAUGACAAUGGAAACAAGCAAACAGAUACCAACCCGAAGCAGAUUAAAUCUCAAAGGAUCAAACCUGCUCUGAUACCAAGUUGAAUAUCAGAGUGCGCAACGAACGAGACUAACAAAAUAAUAGAAAUAUUAUUAAACAAACGAGAAUGCCGAAAGAGCUACAAAACCCUAAGAGACUACAUUGUGACUGACUUGUUAAAACUAACUAAUACAAGCACUAUUAUAUAUAGUGAAAACUAAAGCACAAUCCUAAUCCUGAAAGGAUAUAGAAAAUUCUAAUAUCCUUGUCCCACAAGAAAACCAUAAACAAAAAUAAACUAAUAACUAAUUUUCCAACAGAUAAAAAUGGUGAAACUUUCAUAAUCUCAAAAUUAUAUGUCUCCCCUUAGGAAAAAAAACAAAUUUACAAAAAAGAAAACCACUCAAUUGAGUAGGACUGUGAGUGAUUAGUAAGAUUUAAAUUGAAAAUAAAAAAUAAAAAAUAAAAAUGAUGAUUAUCAAUCCUUAAUGUGUAUGCCAUGAAGAACCCUAGAGAGUCACAAACCAGAGGCAGGACCAUUGUUUUUUUUGGUUAACACCAGAGGCAGGACUUUGGUGACGUGAUGAGUGCAUGGUUCGUACACGAAAUGAUUAUCGUGCGUGGCAAAUGGUAGUUGACAAUGUUAUUAUCAUUAUCAAUCACUUCCCAUUAGCACACCAUAAUAAUUCAUCUGCAUUUAUGCAUAGCAGUUGUGUCUCAUUUAGGUAUGUGUCUCUUUCCCCACCAGAAGCGUAACAAGCUCAACUUGACUUAAACAAAAUGAUACUCACUAAUUAAGAAGAAUAAUAGAUAAUCUCAACUGUCUAUUUUCUAGCUCAGCUUUUAAAUAUUAUUUAUGUAAAAAAUUAACUACAUAUGAAAUUAUUUUGUGAUUUGACAGUUAACUAAUCAAAGCGAGAAUUUUUUUUUAAACUAUUAUAAUAAUUUAAGAUAUAACCAUCUUCGUGUGGGGAGGUGAGACAAGAGACACAAAGAAAAGAAGGUUGAAAAUGGUGGCUGCAUUACAUUUGGGUAUUAACCAGGGUACGCCCUCACAAUUAUCCAAUAAAUAGGCUAAAGGAUUUCUAUAUAGUUUGUAUUGUGAAAUUAAGGAUAUGUGUGUAUUGGAAUAUUAAGUAAAUAAGAGAUAAUAUAAUAUUUAUGAGGUUUGGCAAGUGUGCCUACGGUAUAUACGUCCUCGAGACAACAAUAGUAUUUUCUUUCAUUAUCUGAAAUAAUACGAGUAUAAAAUAACUCUCAUUAUUUUCUCUCAUCUUUCUAGCAUGACUCACUAAUAUUUUUCUCCUGCAUAUCUCUUCUUUAUGUUCUCUCUAGCAUGCUAGUAGUUUUCUAGCAUGACUCACUAUUUUCCUCUUUUUUUUUCCCUUUCCUCUGUAUGUUUCUCUUUAUUGUUUGUCAUACAUUGCAUAUUCUUUAUACAGAAAACUGACCACGCAAAAGUCUACAAUGUCAAAUAUUGAAGGUUGAAAUUCUGUACAGCCAAAUUGUAAAUAUCAAACUUCUUUGACUUUCAUCCUUCCAUUUCACAUGCUUGUUUACGUGGGCAUUCACAUCUCCAUUUACAACAGUUUAGUUAGUUUUUAACAUGAUUGAUUUUCAAAACGUGGCUUCAAAAAUGAACGAAUUCGAUAACCAAACAAAAUGCAGUAGCGUAAAAAAGAAAUAAGGAGGUCCAAACAAGAAAACUACUAGCAUCUCCGCUUAAAUCUGCAAAUUUACAUACUUUUCUACACUCUGCAAUAAAAUAAUCCUUAUUUAAUUAGCUGACCUAGAGCAAACGUCCUUUUUAGCUUCUCUUUACAAGUUUUUAACAUUGAUUUUUGCUGGUGAAAUAACAUUGAAUAUGUGCAAGUCAAGCUUUUCCGCGGGUUUGAAUAUGUACUGCUUUUCUUGGAGAAAGAAUAUAGUCAUUUGGUACCACAAUAUAUGACCAAGUCACCAAUCUCAAAAGUAUACAAUUUGGCAAAGCAACCAAACCCACUUUCUAUAAUUUUAAUCUUCUUAAUCAAAACAAAAAAAAAUCGUAGUACGGUAGCAAGGUACCUUCUCCACGUCGAUCUGUACCUCUGUGAUAAAGUCAGUCAGAGGCUUAGGUCACAAAUAUACGGUUUGAAUUGCAGACCAAGUUGCUUUCAGUAUACACACAGUAUUGGACUAAGAUUCUCUUAUCGUCUAUUCUCUUCCCAUUUCCUUCCAUCUCCUCAUUUCACAUUUUAUAUUUUAUCUUUCUCUUUGUAUAAAAAAUUAAUUUAGGGUAUUGACGUGAUUUAACUGUGAUAGUUCAAAUAGAAGGGAAGAGAAGGAAAAGAAAAAAAAGAAGGGAGAUAAUCCUACUCCUACAGUAUUACAUUAUUAGUUUAUCUGGGUCGGAUUUCAUUAGGGUAGCAAGGUACCUUCUCCACCAGCACCAAGCUAAAAUAUGGAGUUCAAAUGUCCCCAAGUAUUUCACCAGUACUUGAGAAUGGAAAGUAAGCAAACAUUGAAUGGAAACAACUAGAACAAGCAUUUCUAAAUUAAUUAACAUAUCAUUGUCUAAAUUAUUAGAAAAAAUUGAUGGUACCUGCUUGUACUUUGGCUGGACUUGGAUACUACCUACUUCCGCGCAAGGACGGAGCCACCUUGGGCAGGUGGGCGGAUGACCCACUCAGUUUUUUUUUUUUUUUUUUGUGUGGAAAACAAUGUAUAUGCUUGUGACAUUAGUAAGGUGUAUGUGUAUCACUAGUUUAUUUGCUUAUGAUAUUAACAUUAACUCUUCUAUGUUAUUACUAACGUUGAAAAAGGGUUUUCGGCUAUGAAAUUUCUGAAGAAUCGAUUGAGUAAUAGGAUGGAAGAUCUAGGUGUGACAAUCCGUCCCUAGUUCUACGAUUUUAUAAGUUUUAAAAAUGUGAAUUUACGAAAAUGCCUAGAGGCAAAUGCAUUAGCUUUUGUUGAUCAACGUUUAGUGAGACGUAUGACAUGUUUUUUUAGCAUAUUCUUGAAGUACUCAACGGUACAAACACGGAGGCGCAAGCGAAAUUGAAAUCGGAAUUACGACGGAGAUUUUACAGAACUACGAAUCUGAAAAAAAAAAUCUUUUUAAUAAAUAUUACUAUUUUAUAUCUAUUGAUUCAAAUUAUAUUAUUAUUAUUAUUUUAAAAUUUGUUUUGUGAGAUUUGAGGGAAGGGAGAGUAAGGGAAUGGAGAGAAAGCAAAAGGGGUAGAGUUGGCCAACCGGCGGGAGAGAGAGAGAUUAGUUGAAUCAGGAGAGGAGAGAGGGAAGGCUAGCGAAUCAGAAACAGAAGAAAGGAGGGGAAAGGAGGGAGUGGAGAGGCACACAACUAAGGCCUUUUUCCCUUGACCCAUUUCCAAAUCGUGACCCAAUCUUCAACCCGCACCUCCCUGAGCUUUUUCUGAUGAUAUCUGCCACUUUUCCGACGAAUUAGGACACUUCAACAUUUGCAAACAUCAUCACGCCCCUCCUCCUCCAUUGAUCACCAAAGAUUCGACGGGAUUAGGUAUAUAACGGCAGCGGCAUCGUGAGAUUUGGGGUGGCAAUUCAUCAAUUUCUAAAGCAAACUUUAUUGAUCUUCACCACCAUUAGACUUUCCCCGAGCUCUAGAACAAAGCCCAAUCAGUUGUAGGAGUGGUGGAGCACUGAGGAGGUCGAAUCGAAAGACACCCAUCUUAGGGUUUCCAACCGGUUGAGUGAAAUUGGGGCAUUUCUCGGCCAAAUUGGACUUGACCACAUGUAUAAAACUUGCUCUACUCAUUGAGAUCUUCAUUUUUGUGAAAUUUGGUAAUUUUUGGAAAUAGGUGAAUUUUUUGGCAAGUUGGGUCGGCCGACCGCCACCCACGGCGGCGAGUGGCCAGAGGACCGUCAAGGCUAUUUUUAGGAUAAAUUAGAUGUCUUGAAUUCAGUUCUGAUAAUCGUAUGAUGUGGAUUGAUCCUUGGAAUCUAAAUUAUCUAUGAUACGUUAAUAGGUCAUUAUAGGAAUCGACGAUCCGACCGUUGGAUCGUCACCGAACUUUAAUACAUUAUAGUACGUAAUAUUUGAGAACCAUAGAAACUUACGGAUUGGGAAUCCUACGAACAGAUCUUCCCAAAUUGGAUUUGUAAGUUGAUAAAAUAAAAUGUUAACCGCCACUUAAAUUUGUAAUUGGUGAAGAUCUAAUCGUUGAAUCGUAAUGAAACUUUAGGAUGUUGUUCUAGAAGUAUAAUGUGGAUCUUUGGAAGUAAGGGAUCAGAAAUCCAUGAUGCGGAUCUUCCAGAUCAAACUACGUAGGGAUAUGUUUUAUGUAAGUUACAUAUUCUAUUGAUAAGAUUUCUGAGACAUGAUUUAAUAAUUGUUGUAGGCGCUGAUCGUUCAUGAUGCCUCGAUGUGUGUGCUAGGGAGUUGUAGUGCGGAAUCCAGGUGAGUGGGCUUUUGGUUUUCAAUAUAUGUAUAUAUGCUUUAUGUUUUUCCAGAAAAAUUGAUUUAAAUGAUUUCGUGUUUUAUAUGCCAUGUCAAAUGCUUUAUAUUUUGGUAUAUGCUUUUAGUAGUUGUGUAUGUUAUUGUUUGACGUUGCGGACGCUCAAGUAAGUUCCAGGUGAGUAUAUGUAUUGAUGAUUGUGAGUUGCAUUAUGAUGAUUAUGCAUAGAGGCAUUUAGAGCUCAUAAACUUGCACCCCGGUGUUAGUGCUCCCGCCCAUAGCCUGGGCACAGGCCUUCACAUGAUGUUCACCUCCCACAUCGCACGCUCACCUUGGAUCCAAGUUAGGUGCACAGUCCUGUCGUACAGACUACUACAGGUGGUCCUGACUCGUAGGUGACCUGCGAUUAUUUGCACAGUCUUCAUGUGAUCGUAGCACUUGAACGUAUUUAUUUACACCUAGUCCUGUCGUACAUACCACUCUAGGUGGUUCCAACUCGUGUGCAAAUAUAUUUGAUGAGCUAUGAGUUUAGCCGUACAGGCCACAAUAGGUGGAUCCGACUGACAUAUUACUUUUCAUUGAUUAUUUCACCUGGUUUACUUAUGUCAUUAUGUUGAGCUAUUUGGCAUGGCAUACAUGUGAUUUUAGCUAUUCCGAGUAUGGUUUCGAUAUAGAUAUGUAUUCUAUUUUCUGGGAAAUUAUACGGGUUUUACGGCGAUGGGUUAUUACUUUUGAUAAGUGAAAUGGUUUUGAAAAGCUUUGUUUUUGUCCACUCACACUUUCUGUUUUGCACCCCUCCAGGUUCUAGUAGCAAAGUUUCUUCGUCAACGAGGAUUCUUGGCAUAUCCCAGUUCAAGUGGCUUCCUAUGAUGGUAUAAUCCUUAUCUUACCUUACUGUACUUUACUUAUGCUAUGUAAUCACGUGUGAAAUAGGUCCAUACUCGCUCACCGCGCACUCAUGUACUUAGACACUUUUAGGUUUAAAUUUAUUCACAUUUUACACAUCAUCACACUUUAUGGCUUCAUCACCUUCCAGGUAUCGGCCAUCACAUCUCGAUUCGGUAUCCUACAACAUGAUAAUUUAAUGGUAUUAGUAAUGAAGUUGUCAUGCAACACUUUCAAAAUCUGAAAACGCGUCGAGAUAUAUUGUCCGCUUUGGGCCACGACCACGUCCUCACAGUUUUGUUUCUGGGAACUCACACGAGAACUUCCUAGUGGGUCAUCUAUCGUGGGAUUGCUCUCGCGCAAACUCGCUUAACUUCGGAGUUUCGAUGGAACCCGAAGCCAGUGAGCUCCCAAAAAACCUCGUGCUAGAUAGAGAUGAGAAUAUACAUAUAAGGCUUAGAGGAUCCACUUCCCUGGGCGAUGUGGGAUGUACAGUACCCAUGUUUUGUUUUGGUACAAUAAUUUUUUUUUUGUUAAUUUUGAUGAAUGUACCUAUACACACACACACACACACACAUAAUAUAAUAGAGAGUAUACUUUAUAUUUUAUUAUUUUUAAUCCCACAAAUUAUGGGUUUUAUUUAAAAUCACAUUAAUAUAAACAAAUACAAAUUUCAAUUUUUAAUUUAAAAACUAUAGUAACUUACAUUAUUACACUAAUGUCAUGGGCUUUGAUAAACAACUAAAAACAUGUAAGGUUUCAAUCAAAGAAUAUUAAUAAUCAAAGACUGAAUCUAAAGUGUUCCAAAAAAAAAUAGGGGUGUGAUAUCCACACAACCCAUUUUACUUCCCACACACCUUUUUAAUUUUCGGCUUUCGGAUUGGAUGAAUUGAAGAAGAUCAACAUAUAUAAAUUAUCAAGGGGCGUGUGAAAAGUAAAAUGGGGUGUGUGGAUAGCACAAAUAUAAGUUACGUGAGCAAUUCAGACUAAAUAUUACUAAAUUAUAACUUCACUAUAAAUUGUUAUCCAAAAACGUGGAGGUAAUCGAAUUACCAAAUAACUAAAACAUGCAUGUAUAUGUUCAUCAUGCUUUAAGAAAAGUAUGCUUUUCUCUAUUCGUAUCAGAUGAUUGAAAUGGCUUUUAUGUGUUUGGGUUAACUUUUAGUCAAGCCCACCAAUGUUCUUCAACGUUUGAAGCCUCAAGGAAAAACUUUCAGUUAGUCAUUUGCACUCGAUAUGCUUUGUUUAUUUUCUUCUCUUCUUUUCUUUGUCGAAGUUACGUUGCAUGUUCUCUUCUCGUCCCACAGAACCCACACCCUCUUUACUUUUCCAAGUAUUCAGAAAUUUCUGGUACCCUCCUCUUCGAGAUACUCUCAUGCAUGCAACAAAUUUUUAGUUCGUCCAAUAAAUGCUUCUUACGUGUUUCAAAAAUACUUUAUCUAUCCACGAUUGAUAAGUGGUAAAACUCCUCGUCCUCCUUGAGAAGAGUCAAACUGUACGGCCAAACGCCUGCAUUUCCAAGUUUUGACUAAUACUAUGACAACCAGCUACUGCAAAUUUAUGCUGACUAGAUAUUCAAAACCCAAAAAGAUGGACUAAGGUGAAUGGAACUUUUGCCCAACAAAAUGAGAUCUAACUUACCAUUCUGCCCUUUUCGAGCAUUAUCCUGUGGCAUUUCAGUAUAAAAUUGGCUCUAGGAGUUUGGUAUGGCAAUGGGAUAUUUGGAAUUAAUAAAAAAAUGGUGGUCGAACGAAUCUGAUGAUCCUCUACCACAGUUUUUUCGAAUUCUCCCUCCUGUUGUUUACAAUCUUUGAUUAAUUAUUUGUAUGUCCAUCGAGAAACUUUUUUAUUAUUUUUUUUUUUCAAUAGAUUUUUUUUUUAACCAUUGUAUCGUUUUGAACAAUUCUAAUUGCAUCAAAUAAUAAAUUAAAAAUUUUGAUUCGAUCGUAUGAAUCAAUUCUUACUUAUAAGUUGAGGAUUUGGGGGUUAAAUGUGGACUUAACUACAAGCCUACAACACAACUAGAAUUUGAAUUUGAGUCGUAUUGUUUUCAAAAUGUAUCAUUAAAAUUCAUUUCACAUGCAUAAUGAUAAAAAAAAAUAAAAAAUCCAUUUUUAAAAGUACCUGUAGAAAAGGGUCAUUUCACCAUUUCCAUUACAAGAAUGGGAAAAUCUUAGGUAUGAUCAAGAUUUUAUUUCUAUGUUAGUGUCGUUUUGUGACUUGAUCAAGUAAUGAGCGAAUACUCAAAUAAUGUUGUAAUACAAUAUGUGGAUGACUCAUAUGAAUAGUUCGUUAUUAUUUAUCCAAAGAAAAAUCAGAUGGAUUAUUAUAAUUUAUUCAUAUGAAGAAAAACGGAUAGGUUACUAUUCAUGUACAAUAUUUCACUAUUCAUUUGAGGAAAGUUUGUAAAGUGAAUAGUAUUGCUAUAGUAAUCUUUUGCCUAUAAGAUGAGAGCAUACGGAGGAAGGAAGAAGAAAGAAGAAAAAGAAAGAGAUGGGAGAAAAACAUACAGAGGAAAAAAAGAGGAGUUAUGGAGGAAAGGAAGAGAAGAGGAAAGAAGAGAGAUACAGAAGAAAUUACCAAUGAGCCAGGCUAGGGAGAAAAGAGAAAAUAGUGAGAGUUAUUUUGUACUCCUAUUAUUUUAGAUAAUGAAAGAAAAUAUUACUGCUGCCCCGAGGACGUAAGCACACUUGCCGAAUCUAGUAAAUAUUGUGUCUUAUUUACUUUAUUCCACUGCACACAUACCGUCGAUUUUACAACACAUUAUCAGCGCGAGAAGCUCUUGUGUCGGUGGAAAGCACAACACCAUAAAUCCGGUGAAGCACUACCUACCUCUCACCUCUGUCGGCUGGAAUCUCACAGAUAAGAAUUUUUUUUCAUUUUAUCUUCAUAUCUCUGUAUGACUAAUUUUCUUAAAGUAAAUAUACAUUUGGUUAUAUAACUAUUAUCAUUGGCAGAAAAUCUGACAGCCAUGUAAACACUCUCUGAACUCAAACUUGCUGACCUCGGAUUGAGAUACUUCUUCCUUGAAAGUUGUUCAUCCGUCUAAUACCUAUAACAUAUCAAAUUUUCAGAAAAUUCCAACGGUGAUAUCGUCGCCGAUGUCUGAAACACCAACCCAGUUUCCAAUUUCGUAGAAAACUGGACAGCCAUCUUAUGAGUAUCGAAACUCCUUUUUCAGUUUCUCAGAUCGAAAUUAUGUCUUCAUGAAAGUUGUUCAGUAUCCUCCUAUCCAUAUCAUACUAAAAUUUGAGCCAAAUCUAACGGCUUGAUCUUCUCAUAAGUUGCAGGCACUACUCUUGACUCCAAAACUUAUGGUAACAGUAUUGAUUUUUUUGAAACUCACCGGAGGAGGAACACCAAUUGAGACUUAUUGUUACUAUUACUUCCUGAGUAACUAAAAGGACCUAGAGUUGUGAAAGAAAAAAAAAGGGAUGGGACAAAAGAAAGUGGCGGACAAAGAAAAAGAAAAAGCAAAAGAUAGGGACUUAAUCAUUACCUUUUCUGUUUUGGCAUAUUUAUGUGAAUGAUGCUGGUUUAAAGCCCUAUCAUAAGUUCUAUUUAUUUACAAUGGGUGAAAUUAUUACCCUUUGCUUUAAGUUUUGAUAUUUAUGUGAAUGGUGCUGAAUCAAAGUCCUUGUCAUAAGCUUUAUUUACUAUGAUUGGAAUUACCGCCUAUUGCUUUAAUUUAUUUAGUGUACUACAUUUUAUGAUGAGUAUAUAAAAAGACCUGAAGUUCCUUGAUUAGAUUAGAACAUGAAGUUUCUUGAUCCUCAUCAUAUAAAAUGAUUGGACAUGAAGUUCCACCAUUAAAAAAUGAUUGGACAUGAAGUUCCACCAUUAAAAAAAGAUCAGACAUGAAGUUCCUUGAUCAUCAUUAUAUAAAAAAGAUUGGACUCAAAGUUCCUUGAUCAAAUCAAAACUUGAAGUUUUUGAAUCAACUGAGAGAACAUUAGUUCCACAAUUAAAUUAAACUGAAGACCAUAAGCGCCUCAGUCCACAAACUAUUACAUGAGAGCCAGAAGUCCCUUGAUUCAUGUAAAUGAGGACCAUGAGUUCCUUAAUCCAUGUACAGAUUAAGUAUAAGCAUGAGUUCCAAAAAAUAUGAACCUAAAAUGAUGUCGAUAUUGAGAAUAAAUUUUGAGUCCAUAUGAAUUAUGUUUUGACCUGAAGUUCAAAAUAUGAAUAAUUUUAAGAACUUGCAGUUCUAACAUUUUGUAUAGACAUAUGUUAUAUGUGCUAUGAGUUAAUUAUCGCAAUUUCUGUCAUACCUGAAUUUCUUCCUCUUGGAAAUAAGGAAAUGGUGAACUUAGCAAAACCCGAUUUUGUGGCCAUCGACAUCUUACACAAGAGAUACUUUCAUGAAUUCAUAAUGCUUGAGAAUUCAUGCAGAAGCAUAUGAUAUUAGAAAACAUCUUUGCUUAAAGGCUCUUUGAUUCAUAUUAAUGGAACCCAUAGUGUCCUAUAUCUAACAAACUGGAAGUUUCGAGCAUUUAUAAAACCAGAAGAGAAGGAAAUUUUCUACACACACACACACACAUGUAUAUACACAUGAGUUACAACUACAAAAACAAACAAAUGGGGGGCCUUCACAAAGGUUGCUCAUGUGAAACCUCAGUACUUGGCAGCACCUCAGAAGGGGGAGGCACUAGAGAUUGAUCAUGUGACGCCUGAGUACUUGGCAAAACACCAUAAGGGGAAGACAUCAGUUGCCUUUAGAAUCUAGCCACGAAUCUAUGGUGAUCACUUUGAAUCUGACUUUCGGAUUCCUACAGCUGGUCGAUCUCUCUUUUCAUACUCGUCGAGUAAAUAUUUGCAAGUUUAUGCAACUCUUUAUUCUCGUGUUUGAGCCCUCUAAUCUCUUGUCUAAGACUUGCCACCUCAGCCAUUACUAUUUCGACUUGGCGAGUUCGAGCAAGUAAGCAUUGGCCCAUGUUAGAUACAGAACCCGCACACUGAACACUAAAAGCUAAAGAGUCUUGAACGGCCAAUUCAUCAGACCUCUUUGAAAGUAUUCUUUUGUCUCUGAGAGUGAGAAGGUUCCUAGCUACUACUGUAGCCGUUAUAUCAUCCCUCAUCACAAAGUCUCCAACCGUAAGAAGGCCAUUAGAAGAUAAGAAGGACAUGCGCCAUAUAUUAUUUUGAUGUGGCUCGUGUGUAUUUUCUCCUGGACUCAAAUCUAAACAAAGGUUAGAUGGGCAAGCCAUUUUCAGAAAUGAUGAAAGAAAAUGGUUGGAUAGAGUGAAAUCUCAGAAAUACAACAAAGAUAAUUUUCACAUGCGGGUAACCUUCAAAGCGUGCAUUUUGAAAGCAAUUGAUACCUCUAUAAAAGGAGAGGCAACACAGCCACCUAUUCAAAAAUUGAAGAGACACCGCUCUCCGAAUUUUAAAAGCUGGAUUUUCUUGAAUAAAGUUUGUCAACAUUUCUUAAAACACGUAAAGUUCACUAUUCUAACUACAUCACUAUUGCCGACAAGUAUGGGUAACAAAGCCACAUCCGCACCACUACCUGUUAUUGGGAAAUCCCUAUAUAUGUCGACCUUCGUCCUUCAUGGCAAAGAACACCUCCAAAAUGCCUAACUCAUCUUCCUUGCCAAUAAUGCAUUUGCAACCAAACCUCUUAACAUAUUCAAUCUUCCUUUUCUCGAAUACCUUUUCAACCAAGUCUAUCAAAAUGCCAAACUCAUUUUCUCAGCAAGAAACCCCUUUUGAUCAAAAGGUUUACACCAGCAUCAAAAUCUUAUAUUUUUUCCUUCAAGAGUAAAAGUAUCUCAUAUUAUCAAUCUUAAGAGCAAGAGUAUCUCAUAUCAUAUCAUGUUUUUUCCCUGCCUUUUCCUUUACCCUUGCUCUUACCUGCAAGGCAAGGAGAAAUAAAGCAAUCAAUCGGAACCUGAAAUCAAAUUUUCGAUUAGGAACCGACUACCUAGAACCUUUCCUGAUUGCUUACCUUGCAUUGCUCUCGAGUAGUCAUCUUCAACUGUUGUUGAAGCUGGAUCUCAAGUCACCAACAUGAUAGAAUAAUUGAUACGUUGUUGGCUCUAUACAGUGAAGCUGCCAAUUAUGGAUGAGUCACCAACAAGUGAUGAACCAUCCAAGGGUAAAGAUUGUGCACCACCUCUACUGGGCAAGAGACUAAAGUAGAAUGAUUAAUGAUGAGUUUAUGGAAGUCUAAAGGGAGAAAAUUGGUGGUUGACUGGGUAAAUGGAAGACCAAAGUUCAAUGAUGGGAAUCCUACUCACAGCCCCAACAAACUCUACCAGUUUAUGUCAUUCACAUGAUGUACAAAAGGGUAAUGAACAUUACUAAUUGAUUACAAGUUACAGAGAUGCCGCGCGGAUUGAAGUCUCAGUCAAACUAUCCAUAGACUUGGCACUACUAAAUUGUUGCAUGCCCGAAGCAUGAUAGUCGCUGCAUAGAUUCAAGUUCCAAAAGGGAUAAUCCAUGGACACGACAAUUUUAAUAUAUUUUUUGCAUGUAGCAUAAUCGAUGUGUAGGUUCCAAUGAUUCAACUCCCAAGAAGUGGAUAUUAAAAAUCCAAGCUUUAUAACACUCUUGAGGAGGUUAUGAUCCAAAUUCUCAAACAAUUCAUCUAAUAAGAUAUGACUGUCCUAGAAGAGACAAUGUAAAGCCCCUGAAGAGGCAAGGAUAUCCAAAGUAAUGAUAUACUUAUAAAUAUGCAUGUGCAUGCACAUGAGAAAUAUGGGAUCACAAAUUGAUGAUUACCAAUGUUAAUUUUGGUUUUUAGUAGCUACUAAAUUCAUCAAUGAGCUGUGUUGAUAUUGGGCCACAUUCUUUUGUUCGUCGACAAAAAGAAAAAUUAUUGGCCAAAAUGGAGAAAGGCAAUUCCAUUACCAUUUAUUAAGAAUGUGGAAAAAUAAAACUAUAGUACAAAUUGGGCAUUUGUAAUACAGUGAACUACACUCAACAUGAUAUGACACAAGGUUCCUAGUUGAAACAUGAAAUUGUGAUAUACUCAUGUAAACAUGAUUUCCCAUUAUAAAACUUGUUCAUUUAAAUGGAGAAUUAUAUGUUACACGAAGUUUUAUGAAAUACCUUAAGCAUAUAUGCAUAAGUAAAUCCCUCAAGUAUACAUGGAAGCAAGUUGCUCUGUAUAAAUUCCAAAGAAGAAUGUGUCAUAAAGUGUAGAAAACCCUGGAAGGUAAAGCAUAAAUUAUGUACUCAAUACCAAUAGAUGGUAUAAAUUGCCUUUGUUUGUACCAUACUUAGGGUCUCCGUAUUUAGACCUCGUAUAAAUACUCAGAUGACUCAAAUGUAAUUAUUUAAUAAAUGAAUGGGCAAAUAUGUAAUAAGUGAGGAGCCCUUAUUCUAUAAAAGGGACUCCUCACUCUCACAAUGGGGGAGGCCGGAGAUCCCAAAGCCUCACUCUCAUAUUCAAAGCUCUCUCUCCCUCACAAUCCUCUCAUAAACGGAGAAAUACAAUAUCAGUGUGGACGUAGCCCAAACAUUGGGGGUAAACCACGAUACAUCUUAUGUUCUUUACUUUCUUGCAGAUUCACGGUCGGAUUUACGUUGUUCCAAGACCCUUCCGGUUUUGUGCAUCAACAUCCUUAGUGAGUACUAUCUUUAUGAUGUUGUUGCAACAUACUAAAUCUCUUGCAUGAGUUGAUAAUAUUAGAAUGGGACUCUUGAAGAGUUUAGAAAGAUUAUAAAGCGUUGAAAGGAAUAUUGUCUCGAGUUGCAGAUCGAACAAUAUGUCAACAUAAAUCUUAUUCAAAAUGUUUAUGGUAGUAAAAAACUAUAUGGAUUGAAGAUUAUGAGUUGAAUACUCAAAUGAUUAACCAAUAUUUAGACACUAAGAAAGAUCAUUCAUCCUCGUGAGGGAAAUGAUGAAUUGAUAUUUGGUCCAGGAGUACUAUACCUUAGUGAGGUAUGUGCCUUACUGUAUUUAGUACAAUACACUGAACCAGAUGUUACAUUUCUUGUGAAGCACAAUACCAACAUAUGGUAUUAGAAUGAAGUAAAGUUUAUCUUUUGAUAACUCCAAGAAAUUAUAGACAUGUGUUUGUUUUAUUUCAAGGAACUCACCAAUAGCCAUGGUCUUAUUGGGCAAGCAAAAAUAUGAAUAUCUCUGUAGCCUACAUACAAAUCGCUCUUAGAAAUGUUUUGUAUUUACAUAUAGAAAUAAAUUGAUCCUACAAUGAUCAAGGAAGCAACAUUCAUUGCCACAUCUUCAUAUUUCUCAGAAAUACAUGAGUUUAGUUAAAACUUGUGGGCAUUAAAAUUUGGAGCGCAUGUGAACUACUUUCAGAAGCAAACACUCCAACUAUAAUGAUUACAUCAACAUAGUAAUCAAUCAGAUUAAAGAAUUUGAAAUCAGGGGGAGAUACUCAUCAGGGGGAGCAUCCAAAACAUAUCAAGGUUUUAACGAGGCAACCGAAAUUGACGUAUGGUCAUCCAAGGGGGAGUGUUGUAAUAUAAUAUGUGGAUGGCCCACCUGAAUAAUUCAUUACUAUUCAUCCAAAGAAAAAUCAAAUGGAUUAUUAUUCAUAUGAAGAAAAACGGAUGAGUUACUAUUCAUGUAUAAUAUUUCACUAUUCAUUUUAGGAAAGUUUGUAAAGUGAAUAGUGUUGCUAUAGGAAUCUUUAAGAUGAGAGCAUACGAAGGAAGGAAUAAGAGAGAAGAAGAAGAAGAAAGAGAUGGGAGAAAAACAUAUAGAGGAAAGAAAGAGGAGUUAUGGAGGAAAGGAAGAGAAGAGAAAACAAGAGAGAUGCGGAAGAAAUUACCAGUGAGCCAGGCUAGAGAGAAAAGAGAAAAUAAUGAGAGUUAUUUUGUACUCCUAUUAUUUCAGAUAAUGAAAGAAAGUGUUACUGUUGCCUCAAGGACGUAGGCACAAUUGCCGAACCUCGUAAAUAUUGUGUCUUAUUUACUUUAUUUCACUGCACACAUAUCGUUGAUUUUACAACAAAUAAAGAAAUAUUUCACUACAAGAUAAAAUCUCUCCACAAAUACGAAAUACUCAUCAUUACUCCUGAAAAGCAUCCACAAAAAAAAUACCAGAUUCAAUUGAUAUGUGACAUUCUACACGUUUCUAAUUUUAGCAACAGCAGAAAUUUUUUUCAAGAUAAUUUAUUUUUUUAUUUAAUACAACGAUACUUGAGGAAAAUGAAUUUGAGCUUACUCAUACAAUGAGCCCAUCAUGUGAAUUGAACGUGAUGCCUCACUCUUACAACAAACAAAAAUAACUAAACCGUAAUACUAAUGACAAAUGCCUAUAUACAUGCAUGAUGGAGGCCCAACUUUAGAAGUUUUAUAUGAACAAUAGGAGCAAAUUGGAGACCCAACUAUGCAAUUGCAGAUUGUGAUGAUGAUGUUGUAAAAAAUUUAAGAAGGGCAUAUAACUUCUCAAAGUGAAUGAGGUGCUUUCUGAUGCGGUAGAGGUGCAGAGUAUAGAGCAAUGCAGCCAAUGUCACCACACCAAAAGACAGCAAAGUCAACUUCCAAAAAUCCUGCAAAAUAACAAUGCAGUUAAACAAACACCCAAAUGGGUUUCAUUAAUAAGUUUAUUAAAUAUUUUAGAAACUUAAAAAGUUUCUUAAGUGAGAAAUAUAAAAAAUUAGUGUCACACAAAGUCACCAAACUAUGGAUUCUGGGGUUCAACAUGGGGAUUGAACACAUGAACUGGACUAUUUUAGUCUUUAGGUGCAAAACAAAAAUGGAAGCUGUUCAAAAGUCAAAACUAGAAGAAGUUGACCAUUAGGCUUUUGGUCUAUACUCUAUAGGUUGACUAAUAUACGAAUGAUGUUUGGGUCAAUCGAACUAGGGAUGCAACUCAAGAGAAACUUAGAUGCAGCUGAUCGUAUAUUUUCUCGUGCGUAUUAUUAUUAUGUUGUGUAUAUCGCUCUUAUCACCUGACACAAUCACAUGAGAAGAGAGUAGACACAAAGUGAUAUACUACGGAUUGAACCUUAGCUUUUUCUGUAGUACUUUGUGGGUUAGGUAGUUUGUAAGGUCGACCUAACUUUAAUUCAUACUUCACAAUUUGAGUUUGAACUUACUUUUCAAUUUCUGACAGGUUAAAAGCCGAUUAGGGUUUUGUGACCUUUGUUGGAUUUGGAUUGACCUUACCUGAGUUGCACCCUACCUAGAAUCAUCAAGCCAUAAAGUAAAAUAUGAUUACCUGUGGAUUAGAGAUGAUUAUUCCCAUGACAUAACCCAUCAGAUCCAUAAUUGACUGAAGGGAGUUUUGAACACCUCCCACUUCACAUCGAUCCGAUUCAGGAACUCGAUCCUGUCCAACAUAUGGAUACAUCUAAAUGUCAAGGCAUCAUAGAAAUGCUGAAAACACUUUCAUCACAAAUCAUAAAAAAACCUAUAAGAUUAUUAGUUUAGUUUAAAUUAAUAUUGUUUUACUUUACCUGCAUUUGUUGGAUUACCGCUAAAUCAAACAUCCACAAUCCAAGCCUAGAAGCAGCCACUCCUGCCAUCAGCAUAUAUGCCGAUAAGUUGCUAUUAGAUAUCCAAAUUGAAGCAACACACAGUAGGAGGAAGGUCCACUGCAUUAAGAAAUAAAUAUGAAUUAAGAUUAGAAUCUGAAAUUGUGAUCACUUGAAAAUAAGUCCGGUCUAGUCAAAUUUAACUGAAAUUGUCCAGUUCAGACCGAUCCAUCAAAGGAGCCCCAAAGUUUUUACCUGAGACCAGAUGGACCAAAGUCCGGUUCUGAGUUUUUGAAUAUGAGAUUGCACUAUAGGGUACACAAUUGUUGCAGCAAUUCCAAUUGCAGCACUGAUUCCACGUGCUAUCCCAAUGACAUAUGCAGGUAUGCCUUCCCAUUCCAGUGUAGCUGUCAUCAAUGUCCCAAAGCUGGAAUAAGAGAUUCAAUUGGUAAGAGACUUACUCACAAAUCACAACGUUAGAAUAAAUACAUGCACAAAUAGAACCGGUUUUAAGUUUUUAAUCAAAAAGUUUAGACAAGCUACAUGACUAAAUUUCAAGUGCAACAAAAAAGAAUAUGGAUGUUAUUUUCAAACUUCAAAGAUAAAGGACUAUUCGGAAGAGGUUUAUGUCUAAACUGUAUCCCUACUAAUCCCCUAAAAAAUGGUGGGAUUCCUAGUGUCACGGGAUGACUCUUUAAGCCUUCCGCCCGUGCGGCACUUAGACUUGAAUACCUCGAUGAACAAGCUAAGUAAGCCUUCGAAGCCUCGCUUCCCCGGAUCGAAUCACAAAGAAAGCUAAGAUAGCUUGGAGAAUGCUAAGAUCACUUAGAAGAUGGGAGAAAGGAAGCUUUGUAUUGAAAGUUAAGAGAACUUUACAAUUGCUUACAAUUCUUGGGUGGUUUGGUCAAAUGGCCUUACCUCCUAUUUAUAGGCCUAAGUCACCUCCUCAAUGGAGGGUUCUAGAAUCCCCUACUUACAUCCAAAAAUAUCUAGCAUAGUUCUAGAUACAACUUGCCUAAUCUAGAUUAUUCUAGGUGAGGCUUAAAUAUGUACACUUGUGUGGAAUGUUCCGGAAUGCCCUAGAUUAUCUUGAAUGCUCCGCCACGUUCUUGAUUUCUCCAGGACGUUCCAGAAGCUUCCAUGAAGACAUGGCUUCAUGGGCUUAGAUAUAUGAUGUCUUGGGCAUUUUCUUUGUUUUUAACAUGCGGCCCGUGACAUCCUCCCCCACUUAAGCCGUCGACGUCCUCGUCGACUCUUGCCUCUCGAAUGUCUGAAUCAAGUCCUUAUAUUGCCAUAAGGACGUCUCCUUCUCCCAGGUUGCUUCGGAGUAUGGUAGCCCCUUCCAUUUGACAAAGUACUCCACAUGCUUUGGUUGUCUUGGUCGCACCACGACACACGCUUGGCUUCAAUGCUCUCCACUUCUUUGUCAAAUGCCUCCGUCAUCAAAGGGGGUGCUCGAUGAGACUCACCUCGACUUGGUUCUUCAUCGUCCGCAUGAUAAGGCUUCAAGUUGCUCACAUGGAACACCGGGUGAAACUUGAGGCGGGGUGGGAGUUCCACAAACAUACGCGGCUUUGCCAACCUUCUUGAUGAUAGGGAAUGGUCCCUCAUAUUUCCGCAACAAGCUCUUAUGCAAGCCACGAGUACUCUUGUGCUGAGACGCAUUGAGCUUCACAAAGACUUGGUCGCCAGUUUGGAACUCCACAUUCCUUCGCUUGCGAUCUGCCCAUUUCUUCAUCUUCUUUGAAGCCUUCUCCAAAUGAGCUCGAGCAAGUUCGUCGUGGGCUAAUUGCCACUCCUUAGCAGUUUUGAAAGCGGCUGGACUAUUCCCCGUGUAGCCAGUCACGACCGUGUUCGGGGUCAAGGGUUGUUGCCCUAUAGCCAACUCGAACGGACUUUUCCCCGUCGACUCCGAACGUUGCAAGUUAUAAGAGAAUUGGGCAACAUCAAGUAACUUAGCCCAAUCUCGUUGAUUGGCACUAACAUAGUGCCGCAAAUAAGUCUCCAACAAUGCAUUAACCCGCUCCGUUUGUCCAUCAGUUUGGGGAUGAAAAGCUGUGGAGAAGUCUAACUUUGAGCCAAGUAGCUUGAAUAGCUCCUUCCAAAAUCUUCCUGUGAAGCGAGCAUCUCGAUCACUGACUAUGCUCCUCGGAACACCCCAAUACUUCACCACGUGCUUUAGAAACAAGCGUGCAGCUACUUCGGCUGUGCACUCCACAGGUGCGGGUAUGAAAGUGGCAUACUUGGUGAAUCUAUCGACCACGACGAAGAUAGAUCCACAUCCAUCAGACUUGGGCAAAUGUGUGAUGAAAUCCAUGGUUAAACAUUCCCAUGGUCUUGAUGGGGUGGGAAGUGGUUCCAACAGUCCUCCCGGUUGCUUUUGUUCCACUUUGUCUUGUUGGCACACAAGACAAGUCUUCACGUAUGAAUCUACAUCAUCCCGCAUUUGUGGCCAAUAAUAAGCAUCGCUCACCAAAGCCAACGUGCGGUGAGUGCCAGGAUGUCCUGCCCACAUUGAGUCAUGGCACUCCUUAAGGAUUUCUUUCCUUAAGCUUCCCCACUUUGGGACGUAGAUCCGCUUGCCCUUGGUGUAUAACAAGCCGUCCUCAAGCCAAAACCUUCUUGUCUUCCCAUCAUUGACAAACUCCACAAUGUUCUUGGCUUGGACGUCAUGUGAUAAACCUUCUCGGACACGGCCCAAGAGAUGGCUUUGCGGCUUGAGUACCGUAGCCAUUAACUCUACUCGUCUACUUAGAGCAUCGGCCACCACGUUCUCCUUUCCUUGCUUGUACUCUAGCUUGUAAUCAAACUCCGCUAAGAACUCUUGCCACCUUGCUUGCUUAGGUGUGAGCUUUUGUUGGGUUUGAAAGUAGCUAGUGGCAACGUUGUCCGUCUUGAUGACGAAUGGGGUACCAAGUAAGUAAUGCCUCCAAACUCUAAGGCAAUGGACGAUGGCGGUCAUCUCCUUUUCAUGGGUCGUGUACCUCUUCUCGGCAUUGUUUAGCUUGCGACUUUCAUAGGCUAUCGGAUGUCCCUCUUGCAUCAACACUCCUCCUAUGGCAAAGUCGGAAGCAUCAGUGUGCAACUCGAAUGGCUUACUAAGGUCGGGCAACCUUAGUACAGGCUCCUCCAUUAGGGCCUUCUUCAACUUCUCAAAGGCCUCUUGACACCGGUCCGUCCAUUCCCAUGCCUUGUUUUUCUUAAGAAGGUCUGUUAAGGGUGCUGCUAUGGCUGAAUACCCUUUUAUGAAUCUCCGAUAGUAGUUGGCUAGCCCCAGAAAGGAUCGUAGUGUUGGUACCUUGGUCGGCGGUUCCCACUCUUGAAUGGCCUUGAUCUUGCCCUUUUCCAUCAUAAGUUUCCCCUCCUUUAUCUUGUGGCCAAGAAAUUCUACUUCUUUUGUGGCAAAGGAGCAUUUCUCCUUCUUGACAUAGAGUUCAUGCUCCCGAAGGGUCUUGAACACUAUGCGCAAGUGCUUGACGUGCUCCUCCAAUGUCUUGCUAUAGACAACGAUAUCAUCAAUGUAAACGACGACAAACUUGUCAAGAUAAGGAUGGAAUACCUUAUUCAUCAAUGUGCAGAAUGUUGCGGGGGCAUUGGUUAGACCAAAUGGCAUGACUUUAUACUCGAACGCUCCAUAUCUGGUCACCAUCGCCGUCUUCGAUUCGUCUCCAGGGGCUAUCCUCACUUGGUAGUAUCCCGAUCGAAGAUCUAAUUUUGUGAAGUACCUUGCUUCACCAAGUUGAUCGAAUAAGUCGGCGAUCAACGGAAGUGGGUACUUGUUCUUGAUGGUAAUCUUGUUCAAUGCUCUAUAGUCGAUGCACAACCUUAGGCUACCUUCUUUCUUGCGUUGGAACAAGACAGGUGCACCAUAUGGGGACUUGGAGGGUUGGAUGUAGCCAGCAUCAAGCAGCUCGUUGAGUUGCUUCCUCAAUUCCUCCAACUCGGGUGGCGACAUCCUAUAAGGUGAUUUGGAGGGAGGCUUAGCACCAGGCUCCAACUCAAUUGCAUGGUCGACCUCUCUCCUUGGUGGCAACUUCUUUGGCAGUUCCUUAGGCAUCACGUCCGCAAACUCCACAAGGACGUCUUCCACUUGUUUCGGCAAAGGCCCGUGCUUCUCCUCCCCUUCAUUCAACAUUAGGGUUGCAAGAAAUGUGGCCUCGCCUUUCUUCCAAGACUUGGCAAAUUGAAUUGCCGACAAGUGUUGGGUACACUUCUUGGCUUGCCUUUCCAAUGGCACCAGGCAAGGUUGUCUUCCGUCGGCUAGGAUACAGAAAAUAUUGUAGAAGGGAAUGGGAAAGGCUCGUACCUUGUCCAUGAACUCUAACCCAAUGACUACGCCAUAGUCGUCCAUCUUGACUACGGUGAAGUCGAUCGUUCCCUUCCAUGUGCCAAUGUCUACGUGUACAUUACGCGCAACUCCAACAAUGGGGGUGGCAGCGGAAUUUACCGUCUUCACGCUACCGGGCUCCUUGGUGACUCGGAGGCCAAGCCUUGUGGCUUCCUCCGACGUCAUGAAGUUGUGUGUUGCUCCCGUGUCCACCAACACACGCGUCGUCUUGUCACCAGUCUUGACGUCGACGAACAAUGAUCCUCCCCCAACUUGAGCCUUAGGUUGUGGGAGGGUUGUCUGGAUGGCAUUCAGUAGACGGAUGCAUCCCAUCGUUGCAUCGUUACUCUCCUCGGCCUUGUCCUCCUUGAAAGCCAUGGCCUUAAGGGCCUUCUUUUGUUGGCAAUCUCGCAUCAUGUGAGGGCCGUCGCAUAGGUAACAAGUGGGUUGCCAAGACUUACCUUUGCCUUUGUCAUGCUUAUCGGCUUUCUUCUCCUUCGGUUUGCUUGUCUCGGCCUUGUCCUUCGGCUUGUGUUCUCCCCCACUUCUUUCAUGGUUACCCCUCUUCCCCGUGGACUUGGAAUCCCCUUGGUGGCUUGAUUUAAACUCAAUCAAGGAUUCAGCGGCGGCAAUGGCAUCAGACAAUGUUUGCACGUGCCUCCUUUGUAGUUCGAGUUUUGCCCAAUUUUGCAGUCCACUCAUGAAGUACAUGAGCUUGUCUUCCUCUAACAUGUUGGGCACCUCGAAUAACAAGCUCACGAAGGCGUUGACAUAGUCUUUGACGCUCCCCGUUUGCUUGAGCCACCUUAGUUUCUCCUUGGCUUCGUACUUGGCAUUUUGGGGAUAGAAGUGCAACAUAAGAUCUUUCUUAAAUUCAUCCCAAGUGGUGAGAGAGAACGUACCUUGCUCAAUCUCCAUGCUUGGCGACGCCACCACAUAAGGGCAUUGUCAGCUAAGAACAUGGUUGCCGUUGAGAUUUUGGACUCGUCAUCUUCAAGCUUUAGGUACUUGAAGUAUCGCUCCACGUUCCACACGAAUGUGUCGAGCUCCUUUGCUUCCCCUCUUCCCAUUAUAGGAUUUGGGUUUAAAGGAGUCGAUUACCUUGGAGUCCAACGCCUUGAUUUCCCCUCGACCCUUGCACGAAUUGCUUCACGACUGCUUCUUUACAAAACGCCACAUCUCCCUUAAGUUCCCUUGUGUCCUUUAUCUCUUCUUGAAGCGCCACAAACCUUGCCUCUAUGUUGUCAAGGUGAACCUGGACUUCCCUCCGCAUCUUGUCUGCCAUGGUGUUGAGAGCGCCAAGGAGCUCAUCUCGUAGCCCUUCCACCACCAAGCCACGCAAUUCAUCCUUACCAUUGUCCACCAUGGUUUGGAUUUCCUCCUUGUCGACAAACAUCCUCAUCAAGUCGAGUAUCGAACUCGAGUAUGGUUCGUUCCACCUUCUCGAGUCGCUCUUUCCAUGGUCUCCAUCGAUGCUUGCAAGUCCUUUAACUUUGGCUUGCUCUUGGCAACAUCUUGGACCUCGGCAGUACGCUCCCUUAGGUCGGAGACUCCGGACACCAUCUCUCCACUUGCCAUAUCCUACUUUCCUUCAAGUGAUUCACGAGCUUGGCUCUGAUACCAGCUGUCACGGGAUGACUCUUUAAGCCUUCCGCCCGUGCGGCACUUAGACUUGAAUACCUCGAUGAACAAGCUAAGUAAGCCUUCGAAGCCUCGCUUCCCCGGAUCGAAUCACAAAGAAAGCUAAGAUAGCUUGGAGAAUGCUAAGAUCACUUAGAAGAUGGGAGAAAGGAAGCUUUGUAUUGAAAGUUAAGAGAACUUUACAAUUGCUUACAAUUCUUGGGUGGUUUGGUCAAAUGGCCUUACCUCCUAUUUAUAGGCCUAAGUCACCUCCUCAAUGGAGGGUUCUAGAAUCCCCUACUUACAUCCAAAAAUAUCUAGCAUAGUUCUAGAUACAACUUGCCUAAUCUAGAUUAUUCUAGGUGAGGCUUAAAUAUGUACACUUGUGUGGAAUGUUCCGGAAUGCCCUAGAUUAUCUUGAAUGCUCCGCCACGUUCUUGAUUUCUCCAGGACGUUCCAGAAGCUUCCAUGAAGACAUGGCUUCAUGGGCUUAGAUAUAUGAUGUCUUGGGCAUUUUCUUUGUUUUUAACAUGCGGCCCGUGACACUAGGAACUAGUUUAAACAUCAUUCUUUAUACGAAGAGUCCGUCUUAAUCCUACAAAUUAGAAGAUAACAUCAUAUAUUCUUCCAAGGCUGCACUUGAAAUCAAGUCGUUUAUCUCGUCUAAUCAUGUCCGACAUAUCAAACAUGGCCUAAACCAUAGUUUAUAUACGGUUUAUUGUCCAUUUAGUAUCCUUUUGGUUCUAUUUUUGAUUAAAAGUUUGCAACCAGUUCUAUUUGUGUGUAUAGCCAAAGCCCGACGGAAGUUAAGGUUAAAGGAAAUUAGUAUUGGUAGGGUUUUUACCUAAGCACAGUAAAAAAUAACAGAGACAGAGCAACACCAGGGAGCACAACAUCUUGCUGCAAAUACACUCUCCAUGCAGCCACAUAAGGGAUCCUUGAGACCAUUUCAGUUACUCUCUUAAUCCAGCUUACCUCGGCCGGUUCCAAAUUGUUUUUAUCAUGAGAAAGCAAGCUGCUUGUCUCCUGACCAUCAGUAGACACAUCACUUCUUGAAGGCAUUGAUAUCUUCCGUUGGCUGCUUUCGCCUAGAGCCGGAAUCCCUUUGUAUACAGACAUGAAAAGCCAGUAUUCCAACCAGAUAGUUGUAGUGUUCCAGAGUGCUAAAGUUAAAGCAGAAGCCUUUAGGGACACAAAGCUGAUAAUGAAGCCAGUUAGCACAGGAGCACAUAGCUUGCAGAAGAGAUCGAUACGCCGAAGGACCGAGUUCAUUUUUGUCAGUAUUUCUGGAUUAGAAUGGCUUUCUGAUAUCACCACAACCCUGCAGAAAGAGCAAUUGAUAUAUAAUAUGCACAACAAAUCUGGGCUAAGGAUAAACAAGGACUUAUCUUUGACCGACCCAAAAAACCUCAUCCUAGAAAUUACUUCUAUUAAAAGUUAAACAUGGCCUGUUUGGGAUCUUAUUUUGGAAGGGCUAAGCCUAAAGGUGUGUUGUAUUUGUCAAACAUAAGGGUGCUUCAUUAAGAAGCGCUUUUCCAGAACCACUUGUCAGGUGCUUCAUCAAGAAGCACUUUCAAGUUUUUUUUUUAAUUUUUUUAUUUUUAAACUCACUUGAAUUUUUAACAAAAAUUUCAGCAUAUUUCUAAUAAGUGCACUUUUAACAUAAGCGUGUUGUGCGCAUAAAUUCGUCAUUGUAGUCAUACUAAUUCUCCUUGUAUACACCUUUGCUUUACUCUUUUAUAUAAGUUUUACAUUCUAUUUGCGUCUUGUAGGUUGUAACAAGCAAAGAGUGAAAAUGAGCUAAAAAGAAAGUACGAAGACUAAAAAAGCUUUUACAAUCCUAUUCAGUCUGCACUAUCUGUGCAGAUCAGCGGAGUUCGCAGAAUAAAUUGUACCGACUCGGAAAGAACCCGAAGAUGAGCCAUACACCCUUGUAAAACUACGAACAUCUAUUUUCUAUAGAAUUUAUGGUCAUGAAUAUCAUUUUUGUAGAGGGCGUUGUGACAAUUUUAGUACAUGAAGGUCGGGCUGCACGAGAAUUCAAAGUUUUUUACAACUGGGUAUAUUAGGGGGUUAAAAUUUCUAUUUACGGUUGGGAUGAGCCAAAAGUUUGGAAGAAAACAAAUGAGAAUGCUUUUUGAUAUAGGGUAAUGCUAGGGAGAUCAAAAAUUUUAAACUAAAUUUGCAAACAAAGUAUGUGGUUGUAGAUAAUUGGAUUAAUUAGUGUCGAUUAAUAUGCUUUUUCUUAUUAGUGCCACAUCAUUUAGUUUGCAAUUUGGUUUUAAAAAAUUGGGGUAUCAUUUUUGUUCACCAUCAUAAAUUAUGGUGUAUGUUCACCACACACUUAAUCAAUUGACGCGUGUCAUUUCACUUAAUCUUGGUUAAUUUUUUUUCAAAAAUAAUAGAGUAACAUUUAAUGUGAAAGUUAAUUAAAAUUAUGUGUAUGAUAAGCAUACACUAUAAUUAUGUUAGUAAAAAAAUACUCCUAAAAUUUAGUUUUUCUAACGUUACUCUUCGAUAUAAUGAAACUUUCAAACUCAAUAGGUGAAAAGAUAAGGAGGCUAUUCUUGGCCUUUGGCUGUUACAAAUGAAAGGGGACAUAUUAUCCCUGAUCAGAGCAGCGUGCAAAACAAUAGAAAAAAUAAAAGAAAUAAAAAAGAAAGCAGCCACCAAACAGAGGAGGCAGCAGCAGCGUGGAAAACAAGAAUUAAAAUAGAAAAUUCAGUGCCAGCCGCACCAUCUAAUCAUUAGAAAUGUCUAAGUCAAGUUUGUUUUUUUUUUUUUUAAGUUUUCGAUUAUGCUUUUGUUAUAAACGAAUUUGACGAUGUUUAUUGAUAAUUUCAGAUUAUAUUUCACUUUUUACAUGUAUUUGAUAUGCUUGAUCACCAUAAUUAUUUCUUAUAUUGAGUUUGUUAAAUAGAUAAAUUUAAAUGAUCGAGUCUUGUGUUUAUACCAAGAGACAAAAGAACUAUUGCAAAGUUCUUGGAGUUAAGCAGCACGAAAAAUCGAAAUAGAUAUUGUGUUUUGGGCUUUGUGUCUUUUGUCAAUUCAAUUGUAUUAUGCUUUCUCGAGAUGCAACUUAGCAGAUAACAUUAUAAAUGCUUCGAGUUUGAAAAGAGUGUAGAAACCAUGCCUUAUUCCAUACUUAGGAGAAUCAAUAUAUAGUUUAAAGAAUAAAUACCAUGCCUUUAGGUUGACAAACACUAAUAUCUCAAUCUGUUUGCAUGUCGUUGCUUUAGGAAGGUAGUUAGUAGUGAAUACUGAAACCCUAACUCGUCUUCUCACUGUUUCAAAUCUUAUUCCAAAUCUGUUUGCAUUUGAUUAUUUUUGUUUUAUUCUAUUUUGUUUAUUAUCAGUUUCAAAUAAUCUUCAACAUAUUCUAUUAAAUCUCUUGUGUGCAUCUUUGUUAGUUUUUGUGAACAAAUUAAUUUAAAUUCUUAGGAAUCAUAAUCUAGAUACGUAUUAGUGCAAUCUUGUGGGAAUGAUCUUGUACUUGCUUUCUAUACUAGGUGUUUGAUCUUGUCUAUUGGCAAGUUUAAAACGUGUAAUUAGUAGCAUAAUAUUUAGAUUGUUAAUAUUCAUGACAAAGCACUUAUGAGCAAAAUGCUUCCUAUAGAAGCAAUCUCAGAGCAGCAUCGUUCUAAUGAAAGUCUGAGCAAUUAAUUAGAGAAUUUACCAGUCUCUUUCAACUAAGAUGGUGCCGGCGAGAGUAGAAGUAACUGCAACAGCUCCUGCGACGUUGGUUAAUAUUACUAGCAUGAUAAACGCAUGAAAAUUUGUGCGGCUUAAAUCAGAGUAGACCAGUAAUGCCAUCACAGUGCCUCCAGCAAUAAUAGAAGAGAGAUUUUGUGUUACCAACCAAAGCCGGAGAACCUGUUCACAGAAGUGAAAGAUGUGUAUAAUUAUGUAACAAUUUUUUUGUCUCCCUUUUUCUUCUAAGAAUUCACAUAUAUAAGCUAGCCUAUACCUUUAUAUAUGUAAAUCUAUCCACCCAGUGUCCAACUAAGGGUCCGAAAAGCGCGGUGGAGGCUGAUUCCACCGCGCCAUAGAUAGCAGCAAAGAGUAGGGAGUCGGGCCAAAUGCUUAUCAUGUAUAAACCAACAGAAAAUUCCCACACCCUGCAGAAAACAGAAGAAAAUUCAAUAGAAAUUAAAGUUUGAUCAAAAUCCAACCUGCUCUUUCAUUUGUUCCUUUUUAGAGAUUUCAAGUGAUAUCAAUAAUCAACAAGUUCAUAAUCUUCAACUUAGUUUCUGAUCUUUAAUUUAUCCUUUUUUUUUUUAUUCUUUCCAGCACUUGAUGUGGUUUCAUAAAACUUUCAGCAGCAAAGUAAGAAAAACAAAUUAUUAAUUUCAACGCAUCAUUUGACGUAAUUAAGGAAGUUCACAAUAAAUUUAAGGAAAAAACUCAAACCAAAAAUAUAAAAAAAUUAUACAUGAAAAGUAGUAAAUUAACCUGGUGCCCCAUCUGGAUAAAAAGUGGCCAAAGUAGAGAUAUCUGAUUAGAUGAGGAGGAACUCCAUCAUCUUUUGGAUUAGGAGGGUGUUCUUGCACUCGGGAUAAAAAGGGUUCUCUCACUUCCUCCAUUUCAGAUCAAAACACCAGACGUGCAGAAGAGCGACCGAGGGUUUGUUGUUACGUGGUGCAAAACUGAAACACUGCAGCUAUCAAUACAACAAUCAUAGAUAUUAAUGCUGACUUGAGGAUGCGAAUCUCUCUAGCUACGUGGUUUGAUCUACUCGGAAAAAAAUAGAAAAUUGGGUCUCAAUCCAGUGCGUCUACGCCUCAGAAAAACCUAGCUGCUAAACAGAAACUCACAUUUGAUUUGAUCACGUGAUCGCGAUGCUACCAACCCUUCCUGAACUUUCCAACAAUAAAAAUCCAAAUAGUAAAGGCAUCUACUUUUUCUAUAGCCUAUUCGCCUCAUAGCAACUCUAUCCAUGGAGCCCUCCCUCCUCACUGGCAAUCCACUAUUGAAUUCAUCCUAUUGAACAGUAACUGUCUUUAAUGAAUAGUAACUGUCAUUAAUGAACAAUAAUUGUCAUUUGCAUCUCAACAUUUUGAGCCCUCUCCCUGGCAAUAGGCAAUAAAAUAUUAGUUUUUUUGUUUGUUUAAAUAAUACAAAAUAAAAUUAUUUGUAAUUUCGGAUAAGAUUUUUUAAAUCGUUCUCGUUGCGCCACGUGUCAUUUUAUAAAAAAAACAAUUAUUGAGCGAUGGAGUUCGAUAAGAUUUUUAUCCAAUGUCAUCGUGCCACGUGUCGUUAUCUUUUGAGAAUUUUUACGAUAGAUUUCGAUCAAAUUUUAACUCGUUCAAAAUUGCGCCACGUGUCAUUAUCCGAAAAGAUAAUUAUUGGAGAUCGAUUUCGAUAAGAUUUUUAUCCAAUACGAUCGUGCCACGUGUCAUUAUCUUUUCAGAAUCUUUGAGGAUAGAUUUCGAUCAUAUUUUUAACGAAUGACGGCAUGCCACGUGUCCUCAUCUACAAUCUGAUCCUUUCUGAAUCGCCCAUAUAAUCCAUCAUCCAUCCUCACAAAUCUCACAAAUUGGAUUGAAACUUUGAGAGAAAGAUAGGAAUUUGAUUGAAAGUAGUUGAGAAAAUAUGAAAUUGUGGUGUAAGGUAGAUGGAGAAUAAGUGGUAUUUAUAGAAAAGUAAAAACAAUUUUUUACAAAUUUUUUUUCAGAUUUUUUACAAUUUUUUUCGAAUUUUUUCCAUUUUUUUAAAUUUUUUUAUUCAAAUAAUUAAUCUCUGCCGUUGGAUUUUAAAAAAUUUGAAUUCCAACACUCCAGAUUGUGCCACGUGUCACAACGGUAACUUUUCUUAAUUUUAAAACUAUUUUUUCUUUAUUUAUAAAGCAUAUUAAUAUCGACCGUUGAUCUCAGAUCGAAUGGUUGAUAUUAAAUAAGAUUUUUUUUUUUUUACCGUUGAGAUCCAACGGUCCAAAUUAAGGAGCCGUUGAGAUCGAACGGACCGUGGGAAGCCACGUGGCUUCCCAACGGUAACUGAGACCACUGCAAAAGUGGACUGCUUUUUUGAAAAGCUGUUGGGCGACGCACCCCCAUGCGCGAGUGGGGUGCACGCGCUUGACAGAAAAAAAUUAAAAAAGGGUUUGGAGCUCGGGCUCACGGGCUGUCAAAAGUUGACAGGCCUUCUGCUCGGGCCUUCUCACCAGCUCGAGCUCUUCAAGGCUGGAGUUGAUUCAUAGGGCCUCGGGCCCUUUCCUCUCCCCUGCCCCCCGGGCAACUCCCAUGGCUGGAGCUGCUCUCAUAUGCAACUAAAGUAGAUAAAAUUGUACUAUAAAAGUUGACUUGAUAGGUUGCCUACUCAAUUAUGUCAUGAAAAUAUUUGUCACUCAUAUGGAUUAAGCAAGCCAAGUAGGCAGAAUUAUAUUUUAAUAUUGUAUUUUAUCCAUAAUAACUACUUAAUUAUACAUUUUAGUUCUGGCAUCCGAAACUUAAUUUUCUACUUAUGUUAUUGUAGUCAACAUUGCCUACUUUGGGAAGUAGCUAAAAUUUGAAAACUCAAUUGCCUAUACCAAAGCUAGUUUUGCUUAUGUGGCUCAUCAAAAUGGAUUUGCAUACUCAUUGCUAUUGGAGAUGCUCUAAUAUGAUAGAAGGAUUAGUUUUUAGACCAUAUUAUGUGACAGUAGUUUACAUGUUCAAACAAUCGUUACGAUAUAUUAGUGAUUCUUACGUACAUGACGCUUUACGUAAUAUUAAAAUCGAAACCCUUCAACUGGUGGAUUUCUACAAACAUUAGAUUAAUCAGAUGAAAAGUCACAUCUUCGUUAUAGGCCAAUCUGUCUGCCACCCUUCCAUGCCCUUGUGAUUCAACUCUAAUAUGCUUUAUAUCUGAUCAUCAGAUGGUAAUUAUAUUAAACACAUGAAAGUAUUAUAGCAAAUUCAAGCAAUCCUCCAAUCCUUGGCCUUCAAAUAAUGUUAACAACUAGGAUAUUUAAUCAUAGUAUAUACUUUGCAAUAUUAAAUUAAACAAAUUAAAAAGUGUGGUCCAAUAUUUUGGUGGAUAGGAUGUUGGUUUUUACUCAUGUGUCUCGGGUUCGAAACUUCUCACUCCUCUAAAUUAUUGUAAUAAUUUCAAACUUUUCCCUCUCCUAUUAAUAAUAAUAAAAUUAAAAAAAAAGUUAAAGGUGCGCAGGGUAACUGAUACAAAUGGACAAAGUUGUAAUACAAAUAUUAAGGAGGAAAUUUUUGUGAGAAAGGUUUAUAUUAACUCAUCCGUUGAGUUGGAUACUUAAUCAUAAAUAUAUACAUUUUUCAAUUGGCAGUUACGUAAAACUUUUGACUUUUUGCUAGUAAUUAUCUUUUAAUGAUUAAAUAAAGACAACUGUUAUUAGCACUUUAAAAAUCUCAUUCUACACUCCUCACAAGUAUAUUUUUCUUUCUAAUUAUAUAAAGUUUAGAAUGCAAAAUGAGAUUUUUGAAGUUUUAAUAACAAUUCCCUAAAUAAAUAUAUCUUCCUAUCAGUCAGCUGUGUCAUGCUUGAAAAAUACCACUUGCAAGUCUCAACGGCAACCUCGCCGGCAAGUCCCAUGUUGUUGUUUUUGCUUUCUUAAUUUUAAGAGUAUCUUAAGUUGUAAAAUACUCACUCUUCACAUGCAAAGUGUUUUUAUUCUUGACAGAUUAAAUCAUAAGUUGGCAGUGACACACGUAAAGAUGACUUAUUAAAAAUGUAAAGGUGCAGCCACACAAUACUACGAUUUUGUAGUAUUCAUUUUCACUUGCAAGUGGGAGGUCUUAGGUUCGAAUCUCGUAGAUGGCGAAUUCGAUACUAAAUUAAGUUGAGAUGAACUCUAAGUGUAAGGUCAAAACCUGUGUGGAUUAUGUUGUUGUAAACAUAGGAUAGUGCUACCUACAUACUUAUUUUUAUUUUUCAAACAUUCAACUUAAUUUUCAACUGUCAAAUCGAAUGAAUUGAAUGAGGUAAAUGUCUAAAAAUUAUCAAGGAUAUGUGGGAGGUAAAAAUAGACGUGUCAUCGCACAACCCUAUUGCAAUUCUACAUAAUCUAAAUUACUUAAUAACAAAAUUUUCUUUGUCAAUAAAAAAAGAGAGUAGAAGUUAGAAGGAUCAAAUUAAGAACUUAAAAAAACAAUAAUCAAAGUAAACGUUAUUGACAAUAUAGUAAACUAAACACAAUUUUUUUUUCACAGCCGCAAAAUGAAUGCGGGGAAGGCAGGAUUUGAGAGCGUUGAAUCAGUCAAAUUAUUGCAUGAUUUAUAACUUGAUGGAGUCUUUCAUGUUCCAAAGUUUCGUGUUAAUUUAUUGUGUGUGAGUAAAUUAACACGAGCUAGCGUGAUGCAAAACUGGCCAAGGAUUUGCUGUCCCUAAAAUAAUGUCUCCUUUCGUGUCUCAUUUUUAUUUGUUUGACACGUGUCUUUCACCUUAAUAGUGGUUAACUUCUGUUAAGCUUUAUUAUCUUGUAUUGAGAAAUAAUAAAAAAACCUCCAAAAUACCAAAAGUCAAGCCGAAGCGGCCGAGACUGUCUAUUUCCCCAACGCCUUCGUCUUCAUCGCCGAACACCCCAACCAUCCCAAAAGUUGCCAUAAUUCUCAUUGAUGGUGUCCAUGCUAAAACUCGAAACGAUGUUCCAUGAAAAAUAUAUCGAUAAAGAUCGGAAUUGAAUCGGAUCGGAAUUGUCGUUUGGAAUCUCAUUGAACCGGAGCCAACGAUUUGAUUUGAGUCGAACUAGAGCCGGCUAUUUAAAUUGAAAUGAACUGGAUCUGUCGAUUUGAUUUGAAUCGAACUAAAUCGAAGCCGGCGAUUUGGAUUGAAUUUCUGAGGAAUUGGGAGAUAACGAUAUCGUGGGGAUCAAUUAGGCUCUGAAGCGGGAGUUUAGAGGGAGAGAGAGGGAGGGAGAGAUACAAAUCGAGGCCGAGGGUGUUGUCGUCGGUGAGGUGGGGUGGUUGAGGUGCUUGGCUGACGGCACCGGUUGCUCGGGAAUCUGAUACUCCUCAUGUAUUUUGGGGAAUUGAUUUUUCGACUGAACUCACAAUAAUACAACUUAACAGACGUAAACUUCUGUUAAAAUGGAUGACACGUGUCAAAUAAAUGAAAAAGAGACAUAGAAGGAGACAUCACUUCAGGGACAGCAGAUCCUUGGCCUGCAAAACUAUUAAUUUAUUGAGCUGAGUGUUUGUUUUUCACUUAGCACGUCUUGGUUUCGAUUUCUGGUGAUGAUGAAUCACAUGAUGGUGAUUAGGAGGAGGCUGAAAUGCCUUUGUUAGUCUUCCCGAUCUCUGAAAUUGUGGACUGCUGUGGUGAAGUCAUUAGCUAUUCCCCUUUAGGAAAAAAAAAAUAGGCAUAGUUAUAUUUUAAUAUUUUAUUUUAUCUAUAACGUCUACUUUUACUUGGGAUUCUUAACGAAACACUCCUGGUACUGUUCACUUUUAACGUUAAGGACAUUUUAACUCUAAAAAGUCACUUUUGGUACUAUUCACUUACAACACAUUUUUGUCAUUUUUGUUAAAACUCAAAGUUUUUAAGCUCUUUUCGUUAAUUUUCUUCUUUUACAUUUUAGUUUUGGCAUGCAAAGCUUGAUUUGCCUACUUGUGUUAUUGUAGUCAACAUUGCUUAUAGUAGGCAAAAUUUGUAAACUCAAUUACCUAUACCGUUGAAGCUAGUUUUACUUACAUGGCUCAUCAAAUGAAUUUGCAUACUCAAUUGCCAUUAGAGAUGCUCUAAUAUAAUACAUGAACUAGAUUUUUAGACCAUAUUAUGUGACAGAAGAUCACAUGCUAAAACAACCGUUAUAAUAUACUAAUAAUUCUUACGUACAUGACUCGUUACGUCAUAGUAAAAUCGAAACCCUUCGGCGGGUGGAUUUUAUAAGGAACGCAUAUGUUAGAUGAUAGUACAAAUCAGAUAAAUUGAGCAAAAUUAAGAGAAUUAGAAUCCUGCACAUGCAAUUCUACAGACAUAAGAUUAAUUAGAUGAAAAGUCAGAUCUUCAUGAAAAGUAUUGAGUAAACUAUAAUGCUAAAAGUACUUUUAGCAAAGACAGAUGGGAUUAGAAUAGUUAAUAUGAAAGUUUCAUUAAUUGAUAUUGUUCACCUGUCUUCAAUAAAAAAAACAUUUUUUUAUAAAUAUGUACAUAACUGUUUUUGCUUUCUACUGUUUUGAAAUCAUAAUUUUGACAAAAAAAAAACAUUUCUUUUUCUCAUUUACCAAACUCAAUUAAGGCUUCAAUUAAGUAUAUACUUUGCAACGUUUAUUUAAAAGGAAAACUAAUGAAAAAGGUUUGAAAACUUUGAGUUUUAAUGAUAAGGACAAAAUAAAGGGUAAAGUGUAUAGUACCAGGAUUGACUUUUUAGUGUAAAAAUGUGGUUUUUCGUUAAAAUGAACAGUACCGGAUGCUUUUCGUUAAAGUUCCCUUAUUUAAAUUUGCACACAGAAGCAAUGCUGCAAUCCUUGGCCAUCAAGCAAUGUUAACAACUAUGAUUAGUCAUUAGUAUACACUUUGCAACAUUUAAUUAAAUAAAUUAAGAGGUCGAAGGUAGGCCUGUAAACGGGUCGGGUUUAUUGGGUUCGGGUCGGGUUGAACCCGACCCGUUAAUUUAACGGGUCACCCAAACCCAACCCGUUAAGCUAACGGGUCACCCAAACCCGACCCGUUAAGCUAACGGGUCUUAACGGGUCACCCGUUUCAUGUUUUUUUUUUUUUUUUUUUUUUUUUUUUUUUUUUUUUUUUUUU